UUUUUUUUUUUUUUUUUUUUUUUUUUUUGAAAAUAUAAUGUAUAUUUAAACUUAUGCACCCACUGAAAUGAUAUGUCAGACAGCAGGAGUUAAUGCUUUGACAUUUACUAUACUAUACAACACACUGAAUUAAUUCCUGCAAUUCUAUGGUAAUGUAUAUCAAUAUGUAAGUUUGUAUCUUAGAUUCAAAUUUUUAUAUAAAUUAUAAAUAUUAAAUAUAUAUAUAAAUAAUUUAAAAAUCAGAUCGGUUCGAAUUUUUUCGGAUCGGUUCCUAGCUAUAACUGCAACUGAAUAUUAAGUUUCGGGUUCGAUUUUAAAAUUUUCGAUUUCAGUUUCGAUUCGAUUUUAUACGGUUCGAUUCUUAGCGGUUUUUGGCAGUUUCGGUUUUGGCUUCAGAUUUAUUCGGAUUGUUGCUAACCCUGCUCCAAACUACAAAGACGGUGCUAUGAGCACCUCCAACAAAAGACAAAGACAUGUCUACGUGAUCAUAACAAAUUAACAAUGCUCAAAGAGAGGUGACCAAGUUGAGGAAACAUGAAUAUAAUAUCGGAGAAGUCGGCUGAUAAAAUAUUAUUAUCAACUAUCCCGGUCGUGCCCUACCGGCCUAAUCAUCCACCAUCCAACACCUUUUGCAGGUGGUUGGAUAAGUGUUCCGUGACGAUGAUUAUUUUCUCAGAACUAAUCAUGAACGAAUCACUAUGAUUGUGUUUAGUAUUUUAAGAUUUGUAGCACUAAAGUCAAAUUUGAAGAACCAUUUUACCGAUAUCUUUCUCUUUUUUUUUCUUUUUGAAAAUUCGUAAGAGUAGCUUAUCAAUUUGAUGUUAAAUAGAUUUUAUUUUUCUGACAGGAGUCACAGGAUUGCUCAAGAACAUACAUGUGAACAGUUUAUAAAUAACUGUAGUUCCACCGUCAAAUCCGAUUUAUUAGAGAGCUUAUUAUACUUUGUACUCCAGACUUUGACUCAUUAGCAAAUGAGACUUCACACUUUUAAACGUGAUAAUUUGUAACUCUAAGUUUCAAUUAGCUUUCAAUUUGUAAUUCUGCCCCACACAUCCGUUAAAAACAACCGCUAAUUUUAACUGUUUGAUAUGUAACAGUGUGUAUAUUAGUUUCUAACAGCUACUUUACCUCCUGUGACCCCUUAAAGUAGGGCUGAGUAUGGUUCGGUUUGGAUGAUUUUGGAGGUCCACACCGAACCAAACCGAAUUUUUCGGUUUCAAAAAUUUACAAAUCGUACCCAAAUCGAUUCUUACCAAAACCUAUCCAAACCGAACCAUUUCUUAACGGAGUGGUUCAGUUCGGUUUCGGUUUAAUACCAAAAUAUUAAAUAAAUAUACAUUUUUAUUAAAUUAAAAUAAAUAAUUUUAGGUACUACUCCUUUUUGUCACUUAACAAAACACUUAAUAAAAGUUAAAGACGAAAUUUAUAUCACUCUUCAAUAAAAAUAAUGUUAGGUCUACCGUUUUAUGUUGUUAUGAAAUAAAUAAUUCAUCAUUUUCUUAAAAACUAAACAAAUUAUUUUAUUCAAAUGAGAAAAAGAAGAAAGAUUGAUUACUAAUGAAGAGUAAAUAAAGGACGGAGAAAAAGGAAAAAAUUUAUUUCUAAAAUAAGAAUAUCUAUAAUAUUGAUCAACACUUGAACACUUAAACCUAAAUUAAAUUAUUAAAAAAUAAUUAUAUAUCAUAUGUGCUAACGGUUCGGUUGGAUAUUUCGGUCGAUUUGAAAGUGAAAACCGAAACCAAACCGGAAAUUUUCGGUUUUCUAAUUACAAAAACCAAAACCAAACCAAACUGUUAAAAAACCGAAAUAUUCAUUUUGGACGGUUUGGAUCGGUUUCGGAUAAUUAUGCUCAGGCCUACCUUAAAGUCUAUGUAUUAUUUUAUAAAAUUAUUUCUGAACACACCAAAUGAAGUAAAAAAAUUUAAAGAAAAUUUUAAAAUAUAUAUUUAGAUUUAGAAUUUGAUUUUUUUUUUACAUAAACGAUGUAACUUAUAUUUUAAUUAAGUACAUAUUUUAAAAUCUAUUUUAAUUUUUUUGCAUUGCUGCAUGUGUUCAGAAAUAAUUUUAAAAUAUAAUACAUAACAUUUGAGGGGUCGUGGGGGUAAAAUAACUGCUAGAAACUAAUGCACACAAUGUUACUUCUCAAACAGUUAAAGUUAACUGCUAUUUUUAACGGAUGUGUAGGCCAGGGUUAUAAACUGAAAACUAGUUGAAACUUAGAGUUACAAACAACCACGUUUCAAAGUGUGAACUCUGAUUUGCUAAUGAGGCAAAGUCUGGGGUGACAAAGUGCAAUAAGCUUUUUAUUAUAUUAUAAUUGGGUAUGAAGAUUAGGAAUUAUAUAUAUUGGAAUUGGAAAUUAAAUAUAUAAAUAUUGUGAAGGAAUGAAAAAUGGAUAAAAUAAUAAAAUUCAAUUAUAUGUUAUUAGUAGACUGACUAAGAUGGACAAAAUCAGUUUAUCCUAUCAGUUUAUAUUAAAAAAUUUAUAUUAUUUUUUAAAAAAUUUAAAACAUACAAAGUCAAGAGAAACAUAGAAGAAAGCAAAGCACAAAUGCAUAAAUGGCAAGGGAGUAAUAUUGAACAGUUCACUACGUGCGUAUUCCUCUCAAUGUUUAAUAGAAAAAUAGUAUUUUCUCUAUUAUUUUUAUUUAAAAUAAAAUUCUAACAUAAAUAAGAUAAUCUCAUAAAUUUGAACAAAAUUAUUUUAAAACUCCACUAUUAAAAGUCGCAAGUUAGAACAAUGGGUUCAUUGUGUCAUUAAUUAUUUUUAAAUCAAGAAUCGUUUCUCCUCAAGAAAUCAUUAUCGUUUCUCCUCGCACGCAUUUGAAAAUUAUGGGACUGUUUGGAGUAGUUUAAAAGAAGUGAAUUCUUACUUAUUGUAAAGAAGUGGAGUAAAAAAAAAAAAAAAAUAAGUUAAUAAAGUGUUUAGAAAAGAGCAGGAGAUGUGCUCAGUUUCUUAAAAAUGCUUUUACUUUUUUACACAAACGGGUCAGCUUCUGCUUCUCUCAACCAAACAAGCCCCGUGUAUUCUAUAUUUUUGGCACUAUUUUGGAUUUGGAAAAGUCGAUCUUAUAUUCAUGUUCACCAAUUUAAAGUUCCGUGAUGUCGUUAAUAUAUACGUUGAAAUAAAACAUUUUCUAAGAGAUCUCAAAAAUCUUCGUACUACUCCAAAACAACCCCCUUCUAAAAUCUGGAUACUCCGGUUACAUUUGUAUUCUUUGGUGAUAACAGACAAAUCACAGCAAAAGCAGGCCCAUAUUUUGAAAAAAGUAUAUAGACGCGUGAAAACAGGCAUGAUUACAUUCAGUCGAAGUAUAUAAAAACACCACCUCUGCAUUGUCCUCGAGCUUAAACUUCAGAAAUCAGAAUCAUCUCUCUCCCCUCCCCCUUCCCUGCUUCCUUGAAAUCUCUCUCUCUCUCUCUCUCUCUCUCUCUCUCUCUCUCUCUCUCUCUCUCUCUCUCUCUUGUCUUCUUAUAAGCAUACAGAAUGGAGCAUUUGUUGGGCCUUCUCAGAGUUCGCGUGAAGAGGGGUGUAAACUUAGCCAUCAGAGACACCAGGAGCAGUGAUCCCUAUGUCAUUCUCAGAUUGGGAAAACAGGUAAUUAAACCACUCCAUUUCAUGUUAUUUCUCUUGGGUUCUUUAAUCUGUUCUAAAGACUGGAUUUUGAGUUGUUUUUGCUUCAAAUCCUUACAUGGGCUGCCAAGAUUCUUGAUUUUAUUGAUGAUGUAGCAAUUUUAGGCCAUGUAAUUUGUUUAUUGAUGGUGGGCCUUUUCAUUUUCGUACUUGCAGAAGUUGAAGACUCGUGUGGUGAAGAAUAAUCUUAAUCCUGAGUGGAAUGAAGAGUUGACACUUUCUAUUACAGAUACUAAUCUCCCUGUCAAGCUAGUAAGCCUUUCAAGCUCUACAUUUUCUUAAUUAGUAGUAGUGUACUGUGAUUUCUGUGAAUACCAUUCUUCAUUAUUGUACCCCUCUGUUAUUGUUAUGAAGACUUGAAGAGGUUGUAGGUGCUUAAGUUUUGAUGUUAUGAUUUUUUUCGCAGCAUGUUUGUUUUGAGGGAUUAUAAUUCCGCCUCCCGGCUAUCACCUUAAUAACUUAAAAUUAAAAUAUUAUAAUCUGUGAACUAGUUUUCAGGCAUCUUUUUGGUUAAUUUCUAUGAGAUUAUAACAAUUUCUCUAAUGAUCUCCAUUAUAUGAAAUAAAUCAAUGACUGAAAUCUAUUUUAUGGGAUAAUAAUAGUCCUUAAAUUAAGUGUAAACAAGGUGAUGAUCUGGAUAUUAUGAUCCUUGGAACAAACUUGACCCUGCGGUUUAAGGAGCAAUACGUAAUUGGAUCUUAUAUCACUUAAACUUCCCCUCACCAGAAAAUGAAAGCCCGUAUUUUCGGUUUGAAUAAUAUGUUGGUAGGAUCCAAUUUCUGGAUCAAAUAUACAGAUCCUUUUUUCCAAAUGGUUAAAAAUGUUGGGUUUCCCUGCUUCAUAUACUUGAGCGUGGAACUAAAGCCUUCCACUCUGUUACACUGUUAAGUUACCAAAAAUGUCGGGUUUAAUAGUCUAAAUUUAAGGACUUCACUUUGAUACAAUGCCCACGUUAAAUUAUUUAAUUUACGAUUUGAAAAAUUAUGAACUAUUGCUACAUUUUUUAUGCUUGGCGACUUAAUCUUAAGUUCAUAUACGAGAGUUCAGCUGAAGGUCAAAGAAAUUGUUUAAUGAAGUUAAGUGAUAUCUAUGCAAUGAGGUGUUGCAAGAAAAUCCAUUUGUUGCAGCUGAAUUGGUGUUAAAUUGAAUUCGUCUUCUUUAUGAUACUUUCAAGUCAUUGGUAUUCAUUGUUAUAAAUCUGAUAGAAUACCUGUAUGAUAUAAGUACUGAUUUAUAUGUGAAUAUAUGCUGGGUUAACGCAGAGUUGGUUCUGGUAAUAGUGUACUCUUAGUCGUUUCUAACACCAUUAUCUCGCAUAAUUGAAGGUAGUGUAUGACAAGGAUACAUUCUCCCUUGAUGACAAAAUGGGAGAUGCAGAAUUCGAGAUCAAAACUUUUGUGGACUUUGUACGAAUGCAAUUAGAAGGGCCUCCUGAAGGAACUAUAAUCACCAGAGUAAAACCAAGCAGGGAAAAUUGCUUGUCUGAAGAGAGCAACAUCGUCUGGACAAAUGGCAAGCUUGUCCAAAACUUGUUUCUUAGACUACGAAACGUCGAAUGUGGUGAAGUUGAACUUCAACUAGAGUGGAUAGACAUUCCUGGUUUAAACGGUCAGUAAGUCACUUCCUUAAUGCACAUGGCGCCACAUGAUCUAAAUAGUGUGUUUGGAGUGUUUUAUGCAAUCCAUAGUAGUCGAUGACGAUGUAAAUCAUCUGUAAUGCCAUAAUGGUGAAUAUUAGGUAGGGUUGACCAGAUUUUCUAGUUAUGACCUUGCGUCCUUUUUAUGAAGUGAUUUUGCUAUUAUUAGAAACAUCAGAGAGCAAUAUCUGUCUGUGCAAUCUGCAUUUUAUAGUUAUGUUAUAUAAUGAAAACAUUUGAACCUGAGGUGUUUUCAGCUUCCCUUGCCAUACUUUAUGUAGAGUAUCAGUGUUAAUGACAACCUGCAGCGUGUUUGUCAGCUCUGUGAAGUUCAUCUCUAAUUCUAGUCGGAAUCCUCUAGAAAUUAAAAUAUGUGUCAGGUUGAAAUGUAUACGUCUUUCUGCAAGAAAUACUAUUAGCAUAGCUCGACUCUUCACCAGCAACUUUACUGGGAUCACCAUUCCAGAACGUUUAGGAUUCUACCUAUUCUUUCGGAACUUGGUUUUCCCACACAAGCUUGUUUUCCAUCUUUCAUUAAUCUCCCCCAUCAAAUUCAUCAAUUGUACCCAGACUCCUGUUUGAGGCUCUUGUAUGGUAUAUUUUUGGUGGUUCAUAAGGAUCUUCUUGAUGUGCCUGAUGUUAGGAAUAAAAAAGAAGCUUUAGUGAGAAUAUGUGCAUCCACACCAACCUGUAAGGCUGUAACUAGCAAGUUUUCCCCGUAAUGCAGGCGACUAAUUACAAGGUCAGUGUGGUGCUCAACUUUGCAACAUGUUUAGGAAGAAUCUUUGGUAUAUCUGUUUACUUUCUUCCUAUUUUAUUUUCGUUGACAAAUAUCCAAAAUUGACUUUAUGAUUUGGUCUAUAAAUUAGAGAUGAAAUAAAAAAGUAUCACAAAUCUUAAACUCAUCUGUCUCUCUGUACAUCUGGCAGUCUUGAACUGCCAUAUUGUAAAUCUUUAUUUUUAAUACCGAAGACAAUAUAAAUAUAUUUGCUCUAACUUGAAAUCAUCCUGAAUUCGAAUAAUAACAUCGAAGUAUUCUAUGUUUGAAAAUACUGAUCCGAAUAACACAACAUCUGCAAUACUAGGCACACCAUUUGCUUUUAACUUGAUGCAACUUUUAGCUCUUUUUUUUUUGUCAGGAUGCAACUUUUAGCUCUUGAAUCUGCUAAAAUNGUCAGGAUGCAACUUUUAGCUCUUGAAUCUGCUAAAAUUCUCAAUUUCUCUGAUUAACCUGCCGAGCAUGAUUAUAUCAAAAGCAGCAGUGCGGAGUUAGUUUUAAAAGAUCUGCAAAAAAUGUUUUGGAUAACUAGAAGCACAAUUCUUUUUCAAGUGACAAUUAAACAUAGACAAAGAGCAAAGGGAACAGCACUCAGCUCGUAGCCCAGGCUGCCACCGAAAGAAUACCCGCAGAAACUUUAGAGGCAUUUUUCUCUAUCGUUGAAAAUUGAAAUCAAGCAGAAGCCGGGAGAAAGAAGCUUUCAUCUGGUAUAUUUGUAAACUCCUCGCCUAAAUAACUCCUCAAAUUACGUAAACCCCCUUGACUGGUCAUAAAUCUCCUACUUGACAAGCUAUCGUCUGUUUUUGCCUCUUCACAUCGAGUCCCCAUGCUGUUUACAAAAAUGCAGUACUAGAAACUUUCGCAUCUUUGACCAAGCGUCGCCAAGAGCAAGUCAUUUCAAACCGCAGAAAUACAAUGGUUACAAAAAGGACAUUUGAGAAUCAGAUUCUCCAUUCUUAGUCUCUGAUAAAAAAUCGAUAGCCGAAAUAUGGAAGGGGUAACGAAAAUAUGAAUGGAGGCAAAUGGACAUGAUAAAUGUGUCAAGUGAUAAAUAAAAUUAUGAUUAAAUAUGUUUUCUUAUUAAAGAUUUAAACACCUGUUGCUUCUCCGCAUUCUGCAUACUUGCAGUGGUGGAGCAGGGGAAUGAAGAACCAUUUGGGAAUGAGGGAUACGAAAAUUAUAUUCAAAAUAUAAAAUAAAUAAUUUACCAAUCAAGUAAUAUAUUUGAGAGUAGCUUCGUGGCAAAGUUAUCUGUUUGUUGUCCAUAAAUAAGGUUUUCAUUUUAUCUAAUAAAAUUAUUAAUCUUGGCAUAACAUGUGAAUAUGAGAUUUUGACAGUGACCGAACUUAUUAACUACUAUAAAAUAAAGAUUCCUGAACUAAUUUGGCAGAGUAUUUCUAAAACCGGAUAAACAAUUAAACACUGAUAAAAAAGUGAAAACGCGUUUUUUGUUUCUCAAAAUCAAACGCAAAGAAUAAAUAUACCAGCCAGUAAAACUAAGCCUGCACUCUACCUUUGCAGGUCUAUCACGAGAUUACUCUGAUANCCCAGCCAGUAAAACUAAGCCUGCACUCUACCUUUGCAGGUCUAUCACGAGAUUACUCUGAUAAUUCACAAAACAAGCGUGAACCAAAUAACCAAUGCUCUUCACCAUCUGCACAUGCAGCACCUUUAUCAAAUAUCUCCCCUUAGCUUAUUUUUCAUAAUCUUAUAUUCAAUAAAACCGAGAUCAGAACAAAUCAAACAUAUCUAUCCCACACUCAACAAGUCGCAUUUUCAAUUCUACGAUAUGCAAUAAGAUUUUACAAGUAUCGAAUUUGUGACACACCAUAUAUAAAAUCUUGUAUCCGUCACUGGAUGUCACGCAGUGAAAUGAACAAUUUGUUUCAAAAUCGUUACGUGAAAACACAUCAUCAACGACGAUGUAUAUAGUAGCAGCAAUAAAUUCCAUUAAUAUCGUAGUCAAUUAUAAAUGACAUUGCAGGCGGUUACUUUUGAUGCUUCCACUACAUAACGAAGAAUCCAAUUCCUAAAACUCGGGGCUAAUCAAAACCGAUAACGUAAACAAUACUCGUUGUGCAUCAUAUACAAGUUGAAACAAUUUUGAUUCUAAGCCUAUUCGAUCUUCCGUAAAAAUUAAACUCAAUUAAACAGAAAAUACAAACCUAAUCAAGGCUUGUUAUGCAUCAUCUUCUUAAACUCAUCGAAGUUAACGCCGCCGUCACCGUCGUCAUCAACAGCGCUAAUCAUCUUCUCGCAAUCUCUCAACGUGCACUUCUGUCCUAAACUCUUCAACGUGAAGUGCAGUUCACUGGCGGUGAUCACUCCGUUUUUGUCGCGGUCGUACACGUCGAAAGCGUCGCGCAACUCCUUGUCGACGGCGCGGACGUCGUCGGAACUCGCGAGAUGAAAGGUCGCGAACUCGUUGAAGUCGAUAGAACCGUCGCCGUCGGCGUCGAUUUCGGACAUUAUGCCGGCGAUGUCCUUGGGAGUGGCGUCGGUGCCGAGAGAGAGGAGAACGGACUGAAGUUCCGACGCGUCGAUUUUUCCGUCGCCGUUGGCGUCGAAGUUGUUGAAAACCUUCUUAAUGUCUUCCAUUGAAAGAGAGAGACAGAGAGAUAGAGAGACUUGAUUUGAAAAAGCGAGCGUUUGGGGAUGAAGGGAGAGAAUAUAUAGGGACUGAGGGGUGGGAUUUUAGAAUGUGUGUAAUUUGGAUUUUCCGUGGCCGCGUUUCACGGAUUCAGUUAUGGUAUGAGCAGCGAGGACUUUGCAGUUGUGUCGAAGUUGCUGGGUAACGAGCAGCCCAUAUGGCUGUGGCCCGAAUAUUUUGGACUGAUCACAGGCCCAAGUUGUUAAUACACAAUUUGUAAAUCGGCAACGACAUAUAAUUUUUACGAGUCAAGUUCUAUGGAGUACAAAAACAAUUGGAGUAUUGGAGUACAUUUAUAAAAUAUAAUCUAGUCAUUUGAAUCUUAAUUUUUUUUGUUUUACAAUAUUUGUAAACAUCCCAUAACUUGCGGAUUAUGUUCUACAACAUAAACAUGGUAAUCAAAAAAUAUAACAAUUACCUUUAUGAAUCGUAGGACAUUAUGUUCUGCAAUCAAUAUAUAUAUAUAAAGGAGGAUGCGGGGCGUCUCUAGAAUUGCUCGAUUCAGUCUUCUAAUUUUUCUUAAAUUUCGGAUAUAAACUAUAAUUAUAAUUCAAAAAAUAAUGUUCAAGAAUUCUAAAAGUAAUACAAUUCUUUUCAUAUUGAAUUACACAAUUUUUUUCUUAUUUUGUAUUUCGUAUUGAAUUCUAAAGAUGAUACAAUUCUUUUCUUAUUUAAUAUUUCUUAUUGAAUUCUAAAGAUAUUACAAUUCUUUUCUUAUUUAGUAAUUCUAAAAGGAAUAGGAUUAUAUUUAUUCAAACGAACAAUAAUAAAUAAAAUACAAUUUAUAUUUAAGAUUUGUAAGAUAAUAUGUACAAUUCUUAUUUUCAAUAAGAUAUAUAGAAUAUGUAGUUGAAUUUUAUAUUAUAAAAUUUUAUUUUCGAUAAGAUAUAUAGAAGAAUAAUCUAAUACUAAGUCCGUAAUUACAACUCUGUUUAAAAGUCUAAAUAGUAGACACAAAUAAUAAAUUAGAUAACACGAUAUGUUCGAAUUUGCUCGAUUCAGUCUUCUAAUUUUUCUUAAAUUUCGGAUAUAAACUAUAAUUAUAAUUCAAAAAAUCAUGUUCAAGAAUUCUAAAAGUAAUACAAUUCUUUUCAUAUUGAAUUCUAAAGAUGAUACAAUUCUUUUCUUAUUUUGUAUUUCGUAUUGAAUUCUAAAAAUGAUACAAUUCUUUUCUUAUUUGGUAUUUCCUAUUGAAUUCUAAAGAUAUUAUAAUUCUUUUCUUAUUUAGUAAUUCUAAAAGGAAUAGGAUUAUAUUUAUUCAAACGAACAAUAAUAAAUAAAAUGCAAUUUAUAUUUAAGAUUUGUAAGAUAAUAUGUACAGUUCUUAUUUUCAAUAAGAUAUAUAGAAUAUGUAGUUGAAUUUUAUAUUAUAAAAUUUUAUUUUCGAUAAGAUAUAUAGAAGAAUAAUCUAAUACUAGGUCCGUAAUUACAACUGUGUUUAAAAGUCUAAAUAGUAGACAUAAAUAAUAAAUUAGAUAACACGAUAUGUUCGAAUCAUAAAAUUUAAAUAGUAGACACAAAUAAUAAAUUAGAUGACACGAUAUGUUCGAACCACAAAAUGUAUUAACUCGGCGUGUCUAGAAUUAUUGAAUUUAGUCUUAUAAUUUUCUUAAUUAAAUUUCAAAUUGAAAAUAAAAUUAUAACAUAAAAAUCAGGAUAAAAAAUACAAUUCUUAUUUUCAAAAGUUGUAGCGCUAAACUAACGUCGUUCCAUAAUGAUGAAGAAGAUAGCAUCUCAAUCAUGAAAACAUUUUUGAGAUCUUCGCAGCCUCAAUCAAAUAGUAUGCAUGAACUUACAAUCAAUCUCGAUAACAGUUCGAUUCAGUCUUAUAAUUUUCUUGAAUUUUGAAUAGAAAAUAAAAUUAUAAUUCAAAAAAUUAAGUUCAAGGAUCUUAAAGGCAAUACAAUUCUUUUUUUAUUGGAUUCUAAAAAUAAUAAAAUUCUUUUCUCUUAAUUUUCUUAAAUUUCGGAUAAAAAAUAUAAUUAUAAUUUGUAAAAUCAAGUUCAAGGAAUCCAAAAGUUAAUACAAUUUUUUUCGUUUUGGAUUCUAAAGAUAAUACAAUUCUUUUCUUAUUUAGUAAUCCUAAAAGAAAUAGGAUUAUAUUUAUUUAAACUAACAAUCAUAGAUAAAAUACAAUUUAUAUUUAAGAUUUGUAAGGUAAUACGUACAAUUUUUAUUUCGAAUAGAAAAUAAAAGAUUGUAAAGAUACUAAUCAUUAAAAAAACUAAUAGCAAAAAAAUUAGAACCAUAAAAGAAUAAUAAUAUUUAACUAAUAAAUAGGAAUCAUAAAAUGAAAAUAAUUAACAAAUAAAAUAGGAUAUAUAAAAUAGGAAUCAUAUAUUGAUUUUAUGAUAAUGUAAAUGAUUCUUAAUUAGUAUUGUGUUUGACGGGGGCGGGAGGCGGGCCAAACUAAUUUUUAUCUAAAUAAUAAUAAAUUUUCUAUUAGUAUUAUGUUGGACGGGAAAGUGGCCAAUAUCGAAGUUAUAAUAUGAUUUUUUUGUUAAAACGGGACCACGGCUUAAAAUAAUUUUCAUCCAAAUAUAAUCUUUAACUUCAUCAUAAUUAUAAUAAUUUUUCAUUAGUAGUGUGAAACUAAUAUCUAUAUUAUAAUUUUUUGUUAUUAUUACUGUGUUUGACAAGAGAGUGGUUCAAACUAAUUUUUAUCUAUAUUAAUAUAUUUAAUUUUAUCAUCAUUAUAAUAAUUAUUGAUUAAUAUUAUCUUUGAUGGGAGUGCGGUUCAAACAAUUUUUUUUAUUAGUAUUGUGUUUGACGAGAGGCCACUUAAACAAAUUUUUAUAUUAAUUAUAAUAUUUUUUUAUUAAUGAUAUGUUUAACGGGAACAUGACUCAAAAUAACUUUUAUGCAAUUAUAAUAUUAAUUCGUAUCAAAAUUUAUAAAAAAAAUUCGUAACGCCGCCGCGAAGCGCGCAAUUCUUUUCAAAAAUCAGGUUCAAGAAUUAAUUCUGAAGGUAAUAUAAUUCUUUUUUUUUUUAUCGAAUUCGGUAAUACAAUUCUUUAACUAUUGAAGAUUUAGAGUAUAACUAAAAUUUUUACGGAAGUAACAUUUAUCAUACGGAUCACCAACAUAAAUAUCUAUCAUGAUUAAAAAAUAAAUUAAUUAAUACACGAUCCAGAGUAUCUGCAUCCUGCAUUUCAUAAAUCUGUAUGAUAAAAAUAAAAUUAUUUCAUUGACUGGAGCAGCUAUAUAUACUGUAUGUGAAUUGAAAAAGGAGUUUAAUCAGGCUGGGAGAUUGUUCUUUUUUUUUUUUGACAGGACUGGGAGAUUGUUCUUAUUUUAUUUAACUCACACAUUUGCAAGCAAGAUCUUAAUUCUUAAAACCCCGUUUAAAUUAUUAGUUCUUUGUUUAUGUAAUUGCAUUUAUCAGGUUAACUAAAACCCAUCCGUCAAAAAAAAAAAAAAAAAGGUUAACUAAAACCCUAUUUAUCAUAAAAUCUUGAUAUUUGCCAUGCCAUUCAUAUAAUUCUGGACUGUGAUGACACAGUUUUCCGAUAAAGAUCGAAUCUUUGACGUGGGAUUUGAGAUUUAUGAUAAAGUUCGAAUUUUUAUUUCUUAUCUCAUUUGAUAUCUUGGUGUAGUUUUAAUUUUUCUAUUUUUUUGAGAGAAAAUAAGUAAAAUAAUUAAGAAAUAACAAUUAUAAAAGAUAUAAUUCUAAGUAGUUGAGAAAUAGGGAUCUUAACGGGAAUUUAAUAGCGAAAAUCUAUGAAGUUCUAAGUAGUUAAGAAAUAAAAAUCUUAAAAGAUCUUAAAAGAAAAAAGAGAGAUAAUUCUAAAUUGUUAAGAAAUAGGAGUUUUAAAAAAAUACAAUAGCUAGAAUCUAUUAAAUUCCAAGUAGUUAAGAACUACAAAUCUUAAAAAGAAAAGUGAGAUGAUACUAAACAGUUAAGAAAUAGGAAUCUUAAGAAAAAUAUAAUAGCUAUAAUCUAUGGAAUUGAAUAUAUUUGUCCAAUUAUAAUUAUAAUUUUAUCAUAAUGUAUAUGAUUCUUGAUUAGUAUUGUGUUAAGGGGAGGGCAGCCCAAAUUAAUUUUUAUCUGAAUAAUAUUAAAUUUUCUAUUAGUAUUAUGUUUGACGGAAAAACGGCUAAAAUAAUUUUUUUUUUAUCUAAGUUAUAAUAUACAGUAUUUUUUAUUAAAAUGAGACCAUGGCUUAAAAAAAAAUUCAUCCAAUUGUAAUUUUUAAUUUUAUCAUAAUUAUAUUAAUUUUUUAUUAGUAUUGUGUGUUGAUGGUACAACGACUCAAACUAAUAUUUAUAUUAUAAUAUUUUUUUAUUAGUAUUGUGUUUGACAAGAGAGCAGCUCAAACUAAUUUUUAUCUAUAUUAUUAUAUUUAAUUUUAUCAUAAUUACUGAUUAAUAUUGUCUGGAAGGACGGUUCAAACAAUUUUUUUUAUUAGUAUUGUGUUUGACAAGAGGCCACUUAAACAAAUUUUUAUAUUAAUUAUAAUAUUUUUUAUUUAGUGAUAUGUUUAACGUGAAGAUGACUCGAAAUAAUUUUUAUGUAAUUAUAAUAAUAAUUCGUAUUAAAAUUUAUAAGAAAAUUAAUAAUGUCGCCGCGAAGCGCGGCUUUAUUCACUAGUAUAACUUAAAAGCAGAACAAUAAUCUUAAUGCUUGUUAAAGUUGAAAGAUAUUAAUGAUUAAUUGACUAUUAUAUUUAAUAUUACAUAUAAAUGAUAAAUUAUAUAUAAAUUUGGAUAAUAAGAGUAAUUAUUUAUAAUUAAACAAAAAAAUUAUGAUUUGUACUCCAAUACUCCAAUGUUUUUAUGUACUCCAUAGAACUUAACUCUAAUUUUUACCACUUUAAAAGAAUAAAACUUGUUACCCAAAAAAAAAUUAUUUCUACGUUUUGUAGCUUAUAUAUAUUUAUCUUGUCAGGAAAUCUUAAAUAUAUUUAUAUAUUUUCUGCUUGUUUCCAUGGAUCUUGAAUAUUGUUUUUUUUAUAUCUGAUUUUGAUUUUAAAGUGUCACAGAGUUUAUAUAGAGUCAUUAGAAUUUAUGGACAAUACUUUAAAAUCCCAUUAAUUACGGUAGGAUUUCAAUAAACAUAAAAUACACCGAACAAAUUCACAAAAUUUAUCAUUUUAUGAAGUUCAAAAAAUCUACUAACACUUGAAUAUUAUCAGAUUAUAAUAGAUUUUAAACGAUCUUAAUUGAAUAAUAUUAGAUUUUUAAACAUAAUGUAAAAUCUUAACUAAAUAGCUCCGAUUAUAAUCGAAUACCUUACGAUUUUAUUAAAAAUUUUGAAAUACAAGUUGAAUACAACUGGAUUUUAAAAACGAUUUUUUUUAAUUUCAAUUAAAUACAUCUUUAAUAAUCCUAAAACUUUUCAAAAUACUCCGUAUUAUUUUUUCAUAAUUGAUGUGCCUCGGGAUUUGUUCGUCUUGAACUGAUUUCAACUAGAGUCCAGUCCCGUAACCUUGGGGCUGACUGAGUAUUACCUUCAUGUGCAUAUAGCUCUGUUGGUGUAUGGCCUGUGAGUUUGCAAGUUGCAACUCAUGGUAAACAAACCGUGUCUGAUUAUUCAACCUACUUUCACAAACCAUUUCUGUUACAAACUAUGAUGUAAAUGGCUCACAUUUAAUCUCUCUCCUGCAGUCAAGGAAGCAAAAUUAAGCAUGUAUUCUAAAAAUAGUACGAAGCAGCGAGUAAAUUUUGUUUUCUCUAGGUGAUCCAUUUUCUUUUAUCCCUCAUCACAAGGAUGACCAUCCCCUUCCAAACUCAACUUGUCUUUAUAAGCCACUGCAUCCCAUCUAGAAAUUUUCUUAAAAACAAAAUCCCAUUUAAACAGAUAAAGACAUCAAAGAUUUACUACAGGCAGCAAUGGCUGAUCCAGACGCAGCAGAGCACGAGAGAAUCUUCAAGAAGUUUGACGCCAAUGGGGACGGACAGAUAUCAUCGACGGAGCUAGGAGACGCCUUGCAAAACCUUGGCAACGUCACGGUGGAUGAAGUUAAGAGAAUGAUGUCUGAAAUUGAUACUGAUGGCGAUGGCUACAUUUCAUUCCAGGAGUUCACAGAGUUUGCCAAGGCCAACAAGGGCUUAAUGAAAGACGUCGCCAAGGUCUUCUAGCUUCUGUUUUCUACUUCUUUUUACUAUCGAAUCCACACAAUAUGUAUCGAUGAAAUAGUUUCCUAAAUUUGUAGUAAAGAUUACAUUUGGAUUCUGAUAAUAAAAUUUUCAAUAAAAUGGUUUCAGAACCAUAUCUCAGUGUCUCACUGUGUGGAAGUUUCUAAAACCACGUGGUUUAUCAUGUCCUUGACUCUAUAUGCAUGGUGUAUAAUACAAUAUUGCAGGGCUGCUGGCUCCUAGCCAUUAUUUUGGAAUCAGUUCUUUUCUUGUGUAUAUAGAUAAGAAAAGGAUAGAUCAACACUUUCUAUUUCAAUAUGAGUGGAUAGAGGUUGAAGCAUCUUAAUCAAAGAAACUGAGAUUUUGAGAAAAGAACAAAGCAUAAUCAGACAUGCAGUUGUGCUGCUUUCCAUGAUGACUAAAAUAUACAAGAACAAAUGUACGUCACCAACAACUAUUUUAUUUUACCUAUCACAUAACUUUCACGAUAAAGAGAUUCCUCUCCGGUGCACAAGCUGAAGUUUUAGGCACUGAGUACGACUUUCAUUGUGCAUAACUAAAACUUACAUUUAAUUUUUACGCUCAAAAUUCAGUAUGCAAACUAGAUUGCUGAAGGUUGGUCAAAGAAAAAAAUUGCCAUGGUAAAGUAAGGAUAAUUGAUUCUAGAAUUUCCACCCUACAAAGUAAUCUUCUAUUAUAAAGCACAAAUAUUCAGUAUGUACAUAUGAUUGCUCAACCUCAGCAUGCUACCAGCUGGCCUAUACACAUUUUUGAAAAGAUUUACAAAAUAUAACUUUCCACGCAAAUUGCUAUUAAUAUGGUCAGGAGAUUAGUGAUCUAUCAGUCCCAAAGAUAACCUAAGUGAUCGUCAUUUUCAACUUCUGAAACUCCUAGCAUUGCCAGAGCUAAAUGGUCCUUCAUAUCGCUUCUUGACUGUUGUAAUGGAGUGUAACAGUCGGUAACAGAACCAUUACCUGGAAAACUAGAUUUCUUCUUAUUAGAUGGAUUGGUUUGCACUUCUUUCAAUAUUGUAAUAAUUUCAGUGAUGUUGGGUCUCCGGGAUUCUUCAUUGGAUAUACAAGCAGCCGCAGCUUGGACCAUCCGCGUAAUUUGUUUCAAGUUUUUCUGAGUGAACUUGAUAUUCGGAUCAAUCAAUUCUUCAAUUGCUCCUUGCUGCAAAAGUUGUUUUGCCUGCAACAGACAGAAAGAUGUAUUUUCAUACAGCACCUCCACAUAUAAUAUAUAUCCUCUUAAAUUUAUACACGGCAUAGCCCCCUUCCCUUGCAAAAGAUUAUGCCAGAACGAAUUUUUGGUAAUGGCACAGGAAGAACGUAAAUAUAACCGACUCUUUAGCUUAAGACAUGAUCCAUGGCAGCUAAGUAAAAUACAACUAUAGUAUCUCAGUCUUUGUCAGUAUAGUAUACGGUAGUAUCCCAAUUGAAGUAAAAUUUUCGUUGAUAUAAUUGAACUGGAUGUGUGAUUUGAAACGUCAUAAGAUCCUAUAUAUUACUACUGGACAAAAUGAAGUGUCAGUCCUAUAUAGUAUAUACAGCACAUGCAAAAAAUUGCUGAUAAUCUAAUUCAGGUUUAUCUUAUGUUUAGUAGUUACUACUACUACAAUGAUUAGUAGUAACUACAGGUAAAAAGAGAAAGAAUGCAUAGAUGUCAACUUGUAAUUUAGCAACAAAGAAAAAAAAAAGAUGUUGAUUCUAAUUUAAAAAUUAAAAAUUAAAAAAUUACCUAGUAAUCUCUACUGAAAGUGACUCGAAAACCAUAAUUUGUCAUCUCAAAAAAUAUGCUAAUCGUCCUAAGAACAUGUGCUUAUAUACAAAAUGCUUAUAAGAACGAUAGAUAUCAGACUUUACUUCUUAUGGGCCAUGCAGAUUGUGGAUUGGUCCUGAUUAGGGGUGGCAAUCGUUUCAUUUCGUAUACUUUCGUGUCGUGUAUUUUCGUGUUUCGUGUACUCGAAGGUGAAACCCGUAUCCGCCCGUUAUUAAUUUCGUGUACCUAAUUUGAAACCCGUAUCCGUUUCGAAUCGUUUCGUGUAUAUUUCGUGUACUUUUCGUGUAUAUUAUAUAUAAAAAUAUUAAUAUAUUUUUUAAUCAAAAAAUGGAUUUAAUAUAUAUUUUCCUUUAUAAAUUUAUUAAAUGUGAAUGAUAUAUAUUAUACUUGUAUACAAUUCUUUAUAAAUUUGUUAAUGUAUCUACAAUAUAUAUCCACACAUACAUAUAAAUAUAUACUUUAUAUUCAAUUAUAUAUUUAAUAUAUCAUUACAUAUAUAUAAUAAAUAUAAUCUACAAAUAUUUCGUGUACUUUCGUGUAUUUCGUGUACCCCAAAUGAAAACCCAUAUCCGACACGAAAUCUAUCGUGUAAUUUCGUGUUCGUGUACUUUCGUGUUUCGUGUAUCGAAAAUUAAAACCCGUAUCCAUUUUUUUCGUGUCGUUUCGUUUCGUGUUAGCGUGUUACGUGUCAAAUUGCCAGGCCUAGUCCUGAUGCCCAAUUAUGUGUAGGAACCCCUAUACACUGAUCUUUUAGCAUAAUGAGUGGAAUAAAUUAGCAGAGAAAAGAGCAAAAAGUAAAACUAUGACCUACCCAUGAAAUCAUGUUUCCUUCCCCUGGUUCUGUUCUUGUUUCAAUUGGCUUCCUCCCAGUUACUAAUUCCAGAAGAACCACACCGAAGGCAUAAACAUCAGUUUUGUCUGAUAUUUUUCCAUGUUGGAAAUAUUCAGGAGCCAAAUACCUGCAUAUGAGAUAUCAAGGUUCCAUAAAUGGGGAAAAGUGAAACAACUAAAAAAUGUCAAUAGGAUUCUUAAUUCAAGUUCCAGAGUUUUAGGUUGUAGAGAUCAAUACCCAAAUGUUCCUUUUACAGUUUUGCAAAGAAAAGGGACUGAAGGUGCUUGAGUCCAUGUAGCUAAUCCAAAGUCACACAACUGCAAUAUCACUUAAAGUAUUGAGAUUUAACAUUCUAAUUAUCAUCCGAUCUGUGCUUCCACAAAAUCAACUUAAAACUACAAUUGAAUAAUGUUAUUAAAUAAAGCUCAUCUCUCACCUUAGGAUUUUUAUUGGAAGAGAGAAGAAUGUUUGAGGGCUUAAUGUCUCUGUGAACUACACACCUUUCAGUCCCAUUAUGUAAAUACCCAAUUGCCGCUGCGAUUCCUGUUGCAACUUUAUACCUAACAGACCAGGGAAGUGAACAACCGCCCUUCACACCCUUCUUCUUUUCUGCAAUAUAGUCCACAUAAAUUCUAUAAAACACGUCCAAUCAAAUAGAAUAUGGUUUUAUCAAGAGCAAGACAGUAACUAAGAGGAAUUAAAAAUUAUACCAUGCAAAUAUCUUUCUAAGCUUCCACCGGACACAAAUUUGUAUACCAAAAACAAGCCCUCAUCUGGAUCAAUACAAAACCCAACCAGAGGAACAACCAAUGGAUUGUGGAGAGAACUAGCAAUCAUCAGUUCCCUACAAAAUGCUUUUGAAGACUCUUUAUCUUCUUUAUCUAGUCGCUUAACCGCGACAGUAGUCCUCAGGUAUCCAACUCUUCCUCUAAAUACAUAGCUCAAUGCACCUCUACCCAAAACUCUACCUACUCAAUUCAAAACAACCAAUAACAAAAUUUAUUAAAAUUUCAAAACCACAUAUAAAUUCCCAAGACAAAACAAGCUAUUGCAUAAAUUACUCAACUACAUAUAUGUUUAAAGUGUAAGCAUAUACCUUUGGAAAAGCUGUGAGUAGCAUGUAGAAGUUCAUCAUAAGUGAAUCUAACAAGGGUAUGGACCACAGGAGAUAUAGUCCUCUCUAAUGACUCAAUCCUACUCCAUUUUAGUUCUCGAGAUCCAGAUUCAAUCAAACCAUUGUCCAAAUUCACCAUUAAAACAGUAGAAGAACAAGAAUUAUUAGCAGUCAUUGAUUCAAGAUCAAUCUGUGAGCAAAAACUGAACCUGAAUGAAGAAUGAGGGUCAGCAUUUGUCAAUUCAGGGCCAGUCUCAGCAAGCAACCAAGCCUUGUUGUGUUCAGAAUUCUUGAUAUUCUUGUCAUCUUCUAGUCUAUUGGAAGCCGGAAGAAAACAAGAAAGCCCAAAUUCCCAAACCAUUUUUUGCAACAAAGUCUUGAAUUUGAGGCUCUUUAGCUCAUUAUACUUGGAGGGCUUUUUCUCAGUAUUAUCACUAGUAGCCACUUUAGUAUUUGAAGCCGGCGAGUCUUCUGAGGUGGCACAAGUGAUGCAUUGGGUAAACCCCAUUUGAGUAGAUCUCUAUGAGGGCACAGAAAUUCAGAAGAAAGAGAGAUGCAAGAAAGGGAGAUAAAGAAAAAGGUGAGAACUUUGCUUGGACUUGAGGAGAGAAUUUGUUAAUAGAGAAAGGAGAGGGCUUUGGAGUAAAUUGCAGUUACAUAUAUUUUAUGUAUAGUUGGAAUAGAUUAAUGAUGUAGAGGUGUAUUUAGUAAUGGUGGAUGGUAAGAGUGCAUGAGAGAGAGAGGGAGAGAGGGAGAGAGAGAGAGAGAGAGAUGGUCCAAGAUGCAGAGGGAGGGAGGGAGAGAGACGGAGAGAGAGAUGCAAAAUGAAAUAUAUAUGUAUCUCUCUGAGUGGAGAGGGAGAGAGGGAGUGACAGGGGAGAGGGAGAUUCUUUGGUGUGAAUGGUCAAGAAGACACAAGAACAGCAAUAGGAGCAUAUAUUGCUACAUACAUUUUCGAUGUGAAAAUUUCCAAGGACGAAAUGAUUGUACUAUUAUUAUUGUUGAAGGGGGUUAUGAAAAUUAAACUGAUACAUGCACACAAUGAUAAGGAAAAAGGAGAUGUUUAAUUGUUUAUGGCCCAUUUAAAGUUUUAUGAGUAAUUAUGAGAUUUUAUUAUGUCCCUACUCGGAUAUUUUUAGAUUUGGAAUCAGAGAGAUAUUAGCAUUUAAUACAAACAAGCCACAAUACAUAUAGAUUGUCUUGUUGUAAUAAUCAUAUGCAAUCUUGUUUGGCUUACUGCUUACAUGAGUAAUUUAAUUUAGCAUAUAUAUUUUAUUUUUGAAAAUGAUUAACAAGUAAAAAUUUAAAGAUUACAAAAAUAUACAAUUGUGUGCAAAAGAAUGAGAUGACAUGUUUUUAUUGAAUUAAAAUAAAAAAAAAGCUUAUACAUUCAAAAUUUAUGAUAAUACUAUAUAAUUAUUAUUUGACCAACUUGUGACCUACAUCAAUGCUAAGAAUUUAAUCGAAAGACAAUUGCAUUUACAUACACUAUUUAAUGGAUUAAUGCACUUGUUUGGUAAGCAGCCUAUUAACCUCCGGUGCCAGCUCUUCUCAUCCUUCUCCAACCACUAAUAGUGACAUCGGAUAGUCACAAUUAUAGUCUUGUGUUGGAUUUUUUAAUGCAAAUUUAUUAUCAUCCCAACCAUUUUGCUGGUUAUUUAUUUACUGCUUCAUUGUAAGAUAAAAAAAACGUAAAUGAUAUGCCGAAAAUGGUGUCACAUUUUUUUUAUAUGUAGAGUUCUGCAGCAUAACGGUACAUAUAAAAAUGUUAUGUUUAUGUUAUUUAUUCAAAAAAUAUUUUUAAAACGCACAUAAUGAUGCAACAAACAUAUAUUUAGAUUAGGAUUGUGAAAAUAUAUUUAAACUUUUGGGUUCUGCAACAAAAUCUCAUCGGUUCUUUGAUUUCAUUUUAAUGAUUGGUUCUAUAUUGAGCGCAACUCCCAAAAAAUUAUUGUGUAUUUAAAUUUUGAUAUUGUAUAUAAUGAAUAAUAAUAAAAAUUAAAUUUAAUAUUUAUUUGACUAUAUCUUGGAAUUAAAUAUUUUCUUAAAUUUUCAAGAGUACCUAUUUGAGUGAACAAUUUAUAAAAUUCAACUCCUUUUCUUGAUACCUGUUUUUCUCAAAAGAUUUGUCUAUUUUGACGUGUCGCACUGAUUGUUAGUGUCUAUGGACUGUUAAUGCCCAUGACUCAUAAAUAGUAUUAAAAAGGUUAAAGUAAAUAUUUUAUUUAUUUUUUAUAAAAAUUUAAUUAAAAAACAGGACAUUAGGAAAUAUAUAAUUAUAAAUAAUUUGGAAUUAAAGUUAAAAUUGACAUCAAAACUUUUUUCAAGGUUAUAUAUGGAAAUCCCAAUCUUGUAAUUUAUGGUUCAGAUUUUAGUUUAAAAUAAUCUAAUCUAUCAUUAAUAAUAAUUAAAUAUAAAAGGAAAUAAAAAAAAGUUACUUUCUAUAUAAAACAUAUUAUUUUCUUUGAUAUGAAUAAUGAGACAUUAAAAAGUGGUCAGCAUCUCCAACCAUAUAAACCCCUUAGCUAAAAGGUUCAAAAUAUAAAAAAUUUAGCCUAACAUAUUGAAAAAAUCAUAUUCCAACCACAUGGACAUAUUGUCUAUAAUUACAGGUCUGAAAUAAAUCUGUAGGAUGAUUGCACAUUAUUUAUUACCAUAUUAAAAUGAUAUAUUCUAUUUUAACAAACUAAAAUAUUAAUAACAUUUUAUUUUUAAAUUAUAUCCAACCAAUAUAUUCAAUUACUACCCACGUCGGCAUGACAUUUCUCACUCAAGAAAUAUCAAUCAGCAUGCUCUAUGCUAAUCCGUACCCACAUCGGUAGAAAAUCAUUGAACCAAGAUACGAGUACAAGAUAUGUUGACAUGACAGACCGUCUGGCUCAGUGGCCCGCAAGCUUUUGCCUAUCAACGACGAUUUAGUUGUUUGUGAUAAUUCUGAUUGUAAUACAAACGAGACGUUUAGCUAAACUCAUCAAAAAUACUUCUCCCAAAAAUUAGUAGUGAUUAGCUUGUUUGAGGGAAAAAAAAAAAAGUUCUCAAAAAAAAAAAUUUAGCAUUCACGAAUUUUUUACAAAUGCUUCAUGUAUUUUACACAAACUACAAAAAUAAUACAAGAAACAAUGACGCUUUUGGGUGAAAUUAAAAUAAGUAUUUCUUACUUAAAGUAAAAAAGUGAAGUAGAAGUUAGAUAAUACUUAUAAAUGAUUAAAAUGUUUGGGAAAAAAAUAGAAAUUAUAAAACAAAAGUUAAAAUUCUUAGAUUUUUAUAAAUGCUUCUAGACUUUUUACACAAAUGGUAUGAAUAAGUACUUCUAACCAAGACCGGUUGAUUAUUUAGGGAUGCUCUAUUCAAAACUUAAAAUGGCCUAUGUAAUAAUCUAAAUUAUAUUUUUAAGUAAUCUUCACAAAUAAUAAAAUAAGAAAAAUCUAUCUAUUUCAAAUAUAAUUAUUAAAAAAACAAUAUAUAUGAAAAUAAAUCUACAUUUAAAAAUAAAUAUUUUAGAUAGGUGGUUAUUUAUAUUAUUUUAAAAUUUCAUAAAUGUAAAAUAUUGUAGGCUAAAAAGAAAAUCAAUUAACUUAAAAUUUUAAUUUUCACUAAUAAGAAAUUUUAGUUAGAUAUAAAUAAUUUUUAUUUAACAUUAAAAUAACAAAAAGUAUAUAAAAAAUUUAAUAACAUGAUACUAUAAAUUAUAUUAAUAUGAUAAAAUUUUAGACCCUGAAAUUUUUUAACCCCGUGCAAAUGCUCCACUUGCACAGGUUAUUAGCGGGCACUGCUUAUAAUUUCAGACGGGCAAACCCCACAAUACAUCAAUCAUGUUGGGCUUCUCUAUUCUUUUGUUGGACCUGGACCGACACAAUCGACAUAAAACCCGAGCCCAGUCCUGAUAAUAAAUCAUUAUAAAUGAUUGACACGCGGCAUUUAUAAUUUACACUGUCCCUUGUCUGCACAAACUCUGAUUUUUUUCUCAAUUAACCAGGCGCAAAACUGAAAACCCUAGCCUAUAAUUUCUCCAUUUCUCCUUUCAAUCAUGGCUGACUCAUUUGAGGAAAUAGCCUCAUUGCCUCAGCCUUCUAAUAUCCACCAGCUUUACGCCGAGCCGCCAGCUCAGAAUCCGGCUCCGGCAGAGCCGGCUCAAGCUCAGCCUCCAGUGGCGCCGCCUCAGCCUCCAGCUCCAUCCAAGCCUGGUAAUCAAUCAAUUAUUAAAAUUGCACGCAAUUCUCAAUUACUGUUGUUUAUUAAUUAAUUAAUUAAUUAAUUGCAUGUAAUUCUCACUUGCUGCUUAUUUAAUUUGUUUGUUAUAUCUACAAAACUAUACAAAAUGUUGUAUACGUGUGUGUAUAAUGGAAUUGCGGUUUCGAUUUUGAAUUUGUGAGGAUUAUUAGGUUAGUUGUGUGGAUUUGGAGGUGGCUUAAUUAAUUUUUAAUUUUGUUUGGUUCCUCAAGAAUGCAAGUACAAGAAUUAUUUGCAAGAAUACACUCAGAGGGAAGGCCUCCUUCUACCGUCGUAUCAUACUGUUUGGGAUGGGGCAUCACACUCCCCGAUGUUUCGGUCCACAGUGGUGGUUAACGGUGUAACUUACUCAUCACCCAAUGUCUUUCCGACUAGGAAAGCUGCUGAGAUGGAUGUUGCUGGCAUAGCCUUGCGUGGUUUGCUACAACUACAACAGGCGGAAGACUGUUCGAUAGAUAAAGAGGUAUUGCAUGGAAAAUCACUUGGCUUUAAUUUGUUUCUAUUUAUUAUUGAUAUUCACUGGGUUUGAUGUGGACUUUUUUUAUAUAGUCUAGGUUAUUACGCCUUCAUUUGAUUUAAUUGAAUGAACUUCUUUAGACGAGAAUGUGUGAUGGAAAGUUAUCAAAUUGGUGCCUAGUUAUGAUAAUGAUGCUUGACAAAUAUGAGUCCAUUACCAUUUUAGUUUAUAAUUAUAAUGUGAUGUGUUUUGUAUACACUUAAGGCAAUAGUAUCUAAUUUUUCCUUUUAAAUUCUCGGUGUUGAUGUCUUAGUCAUAUGUUACCAACUUAUUGGUAUAAGAAGUGAGCAAGUUGCACAUUAUUAUGGUCCCGUUUGGAAGUUAGAGGGUUAAGAAAAUAUUAGAGGUUUGACUACCGAUUUGGGAUUUUAGGGAUCCGUUAAUUGCUAAACAAGGCCUAUAUUUAUGAGGAACAACUAACAAGACUAUUAUAUACUCUAUAUAGUAGUCAACAAAAGUAGACCCCGAGUAAACUACCAUAACAUUAACAUUACACACACACACAUACAUUUCAUGCUCAACUUGCCAAACCUUCUAAUAAGAGGAUGAAACAUUUUUUUUUUUUUUUUUUUUUUUUUUUUUUUUUAUAAAGGGUNNNNNNNNNNNNNNNNNNNNNNNNNNNNNNNNNNNNNNNNNNNNNNNNNNNNNNNNNNNNNNNNNNNNNNNNNNNNNNNNNNNNNNNNNNNNNNNNNNNNNNNNNNNNNNNNNNNNNNNNNNNNNNNNNNNNNNNNNNNNNNNNNNNNNNNNNNNNNNNNNNNNNNNNNNNNNNNNNNNNNNNNNNNNNNNNNNNNNNNNNNNNNNNNNNNNNNNNNNNNNNNNNNNNNNNNNNNNNNNNNNNNNNNNNNNNNNNNNNNNNNNNNNNNNNNNNNNNNNNNNNNNNNNNNNNNNNNNNNNNNNNNNNNNNNNNNNNNNNNNNNNNNNNNNNNNNNNNNNNNNNNNNNNNNNNNNNNNNNNNNNNNNNNNNNNNNNNNNNNNNNNNNNNNNNNNNNNNNNNNNNNNNNNNNNNNNNNNNNNNNNNNNNNNNNNNNNNNNNNNNNNNNNNNNNNNNNNNNNNNNNNNNNNNNNNNNNNNNNNNNNNNNNNNNNNNNNNNNNNNNNNNNNNNNNNNNNNNNNNNNNNNNNNNNNNNNNNNNNNNNNNNNNNNNNNNNNNNNNNNNNNNNNNNNNNNNNNNNNNNNNNNNNNNNNNNNNNNNNNNNNNNNNNNNNNNNNNNNNNNNNNNNNNNNNNNNNNNNNNNNNNNNNNNNNNNNNNNNNNNNNNNNNNNNNNNNNNNNNNNNNNNNNNNNNNNNNNNNNNNNNNNNNNNNNNNNNNNNNNNNNNNNNNNNNNNNNNNNNNNNNNNNNNNNNNNNNNNNNNNNNNNNNNNNNNNNNNNNNNNNNNNNNNNNNNNNNNNNNNNNNNNNNNNNNNNNNNNNNNNNNNNNNNNNNNNNNNNNNNNNNNNNNNNNNNNNNNNNNNNNNNNNNNNNNNNNNNNNNNNNNNNNNNNNNNNNNNNNNNNNNNNNNNNNNNNNNNNNNNNNNNNNNNNNNNNNNNNNNNNNNNNNNNNNNNNNNNNNNNNNNNNNNNNNNNNNNNNNNNNNNNNNNNNNNNNNNNNNNNNNNNNNNNNNNNNNNNNNNNNNNNNNNNNNNNNNNNNNNNNNNNNNNNNNNNNNNNNNNNNNNNNNNNNNNNNNNNNNNNNNNNNNNNNNNNNNNNNNNNNNNNNNNNNNNNNNNNNNNNNNNNNNNNNNNNNNNNNNNNNNNNNNNNNNNNNNNNNNNNNNNNNNNNNNNNNNNNNNNNNNNNNNNNNNNNNNNNNNNNNNNNNNNNNNNNNNNNNNNNNNNNNNNNNNNNNNNNNNNNNNNNNNNNNNNNNNNNNNNNNNNNNNNNNNNNNNNNNNNNNNNNNNNNNNNNNNNNNNNNNNNNNNNNNNNNNNNNNNNNNNNNNNNNNNNNNNNNNNNNNNNNNNNNNNNNNNNNNNNNNNNNNNNNNNNNNNNNNNNNNNNNNNNNNNNNNNNNNNNNNNNNNNNNNNNNNNNNNNNNNNNNNNNNNNNNNNNNNNNNNNNNNNNNNNNNNNNNNNNNNNNNNNNNNNNNNNNNNNNNNNNNNNNNNNNNNNNNNNNNNNNNNNNNNNNNNNNNNNNNNNNNNNNNNNNNNNNNNNNNNNNNNNNNNNNNNNNNNNNNNNNNNNNNNNNNNNNNNNNNNNNNNNNNNNNNNNNNNNNNNNNNNNNNNNNNNNNNNNNNNNNNNNNNNNNNNNNNNNNNNNNNNNNNNNNNNNNNNNNNNNNNNNNNNNNNNNNNNNNNNNNNNNNNNNNNNNNNNNNNNNNNNNNNNNNNNNNNNNNNNNNNNNNNNNNNNNNNNNNNNNNNNNNNNNNNNNNNNNNNNNNNNNNNNNNNNNNNNNNNNNNNNNNNNNNNNNNNNNNNNNNNNNNNNNNNNNNNNNNNNNNNNNNNNNNNNNNNNNNNNNNNUUCCGUUGAAUAACUACCAGUGUUAUGAAAAGCGCAAAUCGGCUCUAGGCGGUAGGAGGACCUUUUAGCGCUUAAGCGGUAAAGCGGACGCUUAAGCGGAAUUUUAAGCGGGUCAAUAAGCGGAUUAAUUAAAUAUUUAAUUAUAAUAUUAAUAUAUUUAAAAAUAAUAUUAUGUUGUGUUAAGAAUAUGCAUUUUUAAUAUUUUUGAUAAUUUUUUUUUUAAUUUUAUAAUGUAAUUAUAGUUAUAUUAUUAAAAAAUUAAUAUUUCAAAAUUAUUUUUUUAAAAAAAAUUAGCAAGUCAACAUCAUUUUGACCGCUUAAUCCGCUUAACAACCGCUUAAUCCGCUUAAUUUUCAAAAACGCUUAAUCUCCUGCUUAGUACAAAAUCGAAGCGCUUUAGGGGCGAUUCCGCUUAAGCGGCCGCUUAAUGCGCUUUUUACAACACUGCUUACGAUAAGUAUGUUAAGUUGUUAACCCAUGGAGGCACAAAGAAACAUUUUAGCAGAUUAAUAUACAAUUGGAGAUCUUUUCAUCUGUUAAUUAUGCAAAUUAAACAUAAUUAUUGCCACAAGCAACUUUAGGGACAUAGAGAAGCCAAAACCUACUCAUAAUCAUUAUAUGCAUUACAGUAUUAGUAUCAUUAUACUCAAAUUAUCUAUACAGAUUGCAGCAUUUGGAGUACUUGAGAGUUGCAUUUGCAUGUAAUUAAUAAUGAAUAAUGUAAUGAAACCAUGGACCGAUAUCAAGGUAUUGGAUCUUUUUGCAUGCACAUACCAUGUCAGUUUGGUACUAUCCGACUUUUAUCAAACAUCUUACUAUUAAUGUUUAAUUGAAUGACUAAUGGAAGUAGUACUUUUCAACAUAUUAGUGAUCUGAAUUUAUCUGCUGUGAAACCUUCAUCUGAUAGAAUUAUAAGUUAUAUAAUUCUAGAACUUCUACUAUACUUUUUUUUUCUUUUUCUUACUUUCUUUGUUUGCCAGGAGCUCACCCUUUGCAAAGCAAUCCUGAAAGAGUAUGCAGACAAGAUAAAUGUAGGCAACCCUAUUUACAAAACAGAACAAGGAGACGGGUCAUCAGCAUUUACUUCUUCUUUAACAUUUAAUGGCAAGGAAUAUGUUGGAGAAGCAGGCCGCAACAAAAAGGAGUCUCAACACUUGGCAGCACGUGCUGUUAUCAUGUCUGUUCUAGGUACUUGACUCCAUUCAAAGUUGUUCACUAUGUAACUUUAAAAAGACCCGAAAAUAUCCUGUGUUAUUUUCUUUGUAAGGCUCCAUGGUCAUUUUAACUGUUUUUUUUUGUUUCAUACAUGUUCAGAUACUGAUGCACGCGGUGUUAUUUCUAAGAUUAUUAAGUCAAAAAGAAGGAUGGUUUUACCUGCAAAGGGUAACGUCAGUAACCCAUUUAAUGCUCAAAAUGUGGGCAACCCUGCGGGGAUACAGACAAUAUCUAAUGUUGUCUGCAGCGCCAUUAAAGAGAAUGAGCCUGUAGUUGUGAAUGAUAACAUGGUUAAAACAGCUACACAGGAGCCCUGUAUCGAAAACUCGUCCAGUGCUUUGGCAGAACCUAUUUCCCUUGUCGAGGCUAGUGCUACACUGAAUUUGGAACAACUUCUUGGUGGCUCCACAUCUUCGAAAAAAAGAAAACGCAAGAAUAAGAAAGCUGAUAAAAAUGUUGAAAGUGAUGCUCAGUAAGUAUUAUUUCCUCUUCAAAUACUCCUAUGGUGUCAGAAAGUUUCAUUGCGCAUAUAUAGAAUGUCUUGUUCCAUGUAAUAAUUGAUACUUCUCCAGAAAAAAGUUGUGAAGUUUUAGUAGUGGUGGCAUCAAUGAAAUUAUCAGAGAAAAUCUCAAUGAAAGUAGUUCAAUAUAUACUAAAGAUUAAGAAGUGGUUUUGGGGGAAUUGAUUUUAGUAGUAUGACUCUUUUCAUAUUUUAAAUAAAACCAAAGGACUUAAGAGUAAAUGACUUCUCUAUCAACAAUAUACAAUACUCAGGUUGUCACCUACUGCACCAAAACCAGUGUUUUUCACUUGUUAAUUAAAUUGAGGAACUUAGGCUUUUCAUUAGAUCUUCCAUGUGUUAACAAUCAGUGACUGAGUAUUACUGCAGUACAGCCACUUUAGUAAUUUCAGAUUGUCAUCUAUUCCUAUUCUAGUAUCUAUUUCUACACUGGCAGUAAGGUAUGUUUUCUAUAAUGAGACACAGCGUCAUUGUCUGUAUUCCAGAAAAACAUCUUAGUUGUAUUGCUAAUAAAACAGCUUCACAACUUGCAAAUUGAUCAGUUAUAUACAUGAUUUUACUGCCUCUGUUGUCUUCCUCAACAGUUCAAUUGAUUAAUUAAGCAUGCAGAUGAUUUCUUGUUUUGAUGUCAUAGACUUGGGAUAAACAUGUGGGAAAUGAGACGAGUAAAAAAUCUGAGUUUAAAAGUUCAUAUCUGUUAGUGACUUGGUGUAAUAGUGUAAGAGAAUGUAAGUCCCUUGUUAGAAAAGGUUUUGAGGUUUGGUCAUUUUUAAAGAUGCAUUUUAGAAUUUAGAAUAUUUAACAGGUUACUAUACUGUGACAUGUAAAUAGAACUCCUUAUGAACUCCUAUUUAGAUAUUAUUGACAAGGAAUAUUGUGUUGUAGGCAAUAUGCUUUAUGAUCUAAAAAUUUGCAGAGAGUCUUGGUUUAGACAUUUGAAUUUUAAUGAUAUAUAUGUUAGAUAAUUUGUUUGCACAUAACUAUAGACUAGAUAAUCUUACUCUGUGUCAUUUCAUUUGCAAUACCUACUUUUGCAAGUGGAACAGUUUAUAUGAAUGUAUCUGUAACGAAUUUUAUUUAUCAAAUUUUAGAACAUUGUGUAAUAAUUGACACUAUAAAUUAUACAUCUACUAACUUUUAAAAGUGCUAUGAGGAACAUACAUUAAGAGGAAGAUAUAUGAUGUAUAGCAGGGAUAUUUCAGUACAUAUUAGCUGUCUUUGAUUUGUGGCAGGCGUAGCUUAUACAAUCAUGUUGAGUUACAGAAAUCCAGAAUGUCUGAGGAAUUAAUGAUUAGUUAUUUUAUAUGCUCUGCAUAGUAGUCUGCUGAUUUGUUCUUUAGCUUUAGUAGUAGGAUGGUCUCAUGUUUUAGCAAAUUCGAGGAUGGCGAUUACUUGAAAGCUUAGAUUAGCAUGUUCUGCUUUAUGGCAUUUACACAUGCCAUCCGCAAGGUGAAGAUCUCAUUCUUUUAGUUACGUAUUAGGUAUCUAUGUUAAAUUGAUAGUUCUCUUUCUGAUUUUUGUAGUCUUCUAGAUAAUUCUAUUCAGUCUGAGGUCAGAAGUUUCUUUCUAAGUGAACAUCAGUACAAGUACUCUUCUAUUAAGUUAGUAAUAGUUUUUUUUUUCCUUCUGGAAUAAUUAAAUUGAUCAAACCUCAGUGCAGAGGAGAGGUGAUGGCAAGAGCACAAUAACUAGGUUUAUGCUAAAUACAUGUCAAUAUUUUUAGCAUUAAUGUAAUAUUCAUUAGUUGUAAAUUUGAUAGCUGUAAAAUCUGUGAUAUUUGAUAUGUAACAAGCAGCUUUAUAAGCCUAAGACUCCGGAUACUAGAAAUAUACAACCAGAUGGUAUACAUUCCUUGAAGAUGUCUUGAUCUUUUGGAAGUGUAAGAAGCAAGAUCAUGUCUCUAAAUCUUUCACGGAGGCUGAAUAUAGAGCCAUGUGAGCUUUACAUGAACUUCUUUGGGAGUCGGGAGCUUCUCAAAUUAAUCCUACUCCACUCCAUGCUGCUAACAAAAGUGUUAUUGAAAUUGUUGCAAAUCUGGUAUAUCAUGAAUGCACAAAACACAUUGAAAUUGAUUGCCAUUAUAUUAGAGAUGCAUGUACACGCGGUGUUAUUAAACUUCCUUAUGUUAAUACACAACUUUAACAACUGAGCUUUUUGCAAAAGCUUUGAUGCGCCGACUAAACAAGUUUCUUAAUGGCAAAUUGAUGCUUCUCCAUUUACCCGCAUAAUUUUGAGUCUUUGACGGGGGAUUUUUAUAUUUUUAGCGCUAGUGUACAUUAAUUGUAAAUUUGAUAGCUGUAACUUUAUAAGCGUAAUUAGAGGCUGAAUAGGUGAUAUGAUCGACUUAUAUUAAGGGAUAAAGGUAGAUUUCAGGCAGAUAUGGAGAUUUUUUUUUUUUAGAGUUCAGAUAUGAAGGGAUUUGAUAGCUGAUUUGUAGCUCUAAUUAGCUCUGCUGUACCUAUAAAUACAUGAGCUGUUUGUGUGGUAAAUCCAUUCAGAAAUAAAGCAUUUUCUUAUAUUUGUCAAUACAAUUUUAUUUAAAUAAAGCGAGCUACUACAUUAAACUGUAAGUUUAGGUAAGGUUCGAGCUUUGACGUGGUCCUUUAUGGUCACAGGCUCACUGUUGAGUGCCCGUGCAACUGGUUGAUUGACUAGAAUACAUUUCUGCCUUGUUGAUUAUAUAAUUUUUUUGAAGUUCUACUGUGGUGAAAUAUGUUCGCUAUUUAGGUGAAUCUUCCCUAGCCAAUGAUAUGAUGAAGAGCAACCUGUAUGUUAACUAAUGUUAGUUGCUAAGUUUAGUAGUGUUAGCUUCCCAAUAUGAUUAUUUAUAUUCAGAAAAUUUUAUUUAUUUCCUCGUGCAUAGUUGAUACGUAUUCAUUCAUGCUAUUCCAGAUAUGGAGUUGGGUUGUAUAUAUUACGUAACUUUUUGGGUGGUUUCUCAAGUACUAAAAUAUUUCAAUUAGCAGGGUACAGGUUGCUGCAACACCAUCAAGUCAAAAUACAGCAUCUGCAGACUAUAGUGACCAAAUUUGUCCGCCCAAUAGUUGUGCAUCUCUACCAGGUGAAUCAACUAGUGAUUUUUUAGUAUAGGAGCACACUGCUGAUGUUGCACCUUCUUUCCCUGACGUCUUUCCUACAAUACUACGAAUAGUUUGAGACAAGUGUAUAUUCUUGUUCUAGAAGCUUGGCUAAUUCGCGUUCUUUGAACACUUGCAGGUUCAGACAAUGCUGUACUGUUGGAAACCUGAAUUAUCAAGUGUUCAAUGAACCCAGAAAGCUCUGGAACCUUUUUAUCAUUGUAAUUGUGGAUGUGGCUGAACUUGUGAUGUUGUUGGCACUUGCUGUAGUUUUUGUAGAUGAUGUUAUGCAGAGCUAUGAUUACCCCUUCAUAUAGCUUGUCGGUAGAGUUUAAGGAUGGUACUAUCAGUGUAGCUCUCAGAACCAUGAGUUCUUGAGGCGGUAAUUUAAAGUUGGGGAUGGUGAUUUCAAAGUUCUUAGCUUGUCACAUCAUCACAUACCUUAGUUCGACUGCAAAUAUAAAUAAACAACUUUGGUGAUAGUAGAAAUUUUGAGUUUCUGCUUGAUUUUGUGGCGAAGCGAAGCACAGUUCAUUUGUUUUUAGCCUUUAGGUAGAAUAGAGUGUUAUAAAAAAAAUUGGAACGCGCAUGAGCUGUGCGAACUGAACCUGGUAUUUUCUCUUCUAAUUUGCAAUUGGUAGGCUACAGCAAACUUUGUUAGGUAUUUUUUUUAAUUAAAUACACUCAUGCCCGUCUCGGUUUUUUUAAAAGAUUUAAACCAUUGAUCUAUGUUAAGCAGAGUUGGGGUUUUGCAAAGGAACUAAUAAUUGCUAAGGAGCCAUCGGCUUUUAUAUAAAUAAUGAGUAAUAUAAAUAAUGAGUAAUUGAUUCAUACGACAAGAUAUGUGGAAUAUGUAUAUAACCACCAGAGACUUGUGGAACUCACUAAUUGGUCCACGGAUGUAUAAAGAUGAGUGUUCUUUCAGUCGGCUGGAACAUGACUAGUAUUACAAUACUGUAUAAGAAUAUCUAUUUUCAUUGCAGACUGUUCCUUAAAGCUAACCCCACGAGACACCCUCUUCCCGACUCUCAACCUUACGUUUCCCUUCUCUCUCUUUACAAAGUCUUAAAAUAUCUCUGAUGAAUUGUGUACUAAAAUAGUAAAAUACACGUAUUAUCUUCAACUUUUUAUAUUUUAUGUUUUAUUGUGAAGUAGUUGUAAUUUUGUCCAAAUCUUAUAUUAUAAUAUUUCAGUCUGCCAAGUCUACCAGAAUCUCCAGUUAAUCAAUCAAGAGAAAAAUAAUUAUCUUAGAACAAUCAGAAAUCAUUCAUAAAUUUGAGACCAAUAAUAUUCAAUCUCUAACGUUCCUUUUAAUUAACCAAAUCCCCGUUGAUUAAUCAAAAGAGAGGUGUUAUUUAAGAACCAAUUAAAAAUCACUCCCAAAUUUUAUUAUUUCUAUGAAAACGUGUCUGUUAAGUCCGAACAUGACAUGUUUGUUCCACACAACAGUAAUAACAUUUUAUCUAAGGCCUGUUGUGAGAUUUCAAAAUUAUGACAUUCUGUUUUGAAGGGAAGGGUUCAGAUCAUUGUUCUGAAGAGAAGGGUUCAGAUCAUAUAACGAUAAGGGGCUUGACCACCGAGGUUAGUCACAUGUGAAGAUAAAUACAAUCACCAAAGUACUAUUUACAUACACAUCACACGAUACUUCUUGCACUAAUUGAUAGCCUUCACAAAACUAAUCUCCCUACUUGUUUAAAUUAUAGACAUGAUUUGCGUACAUUUUACUUUUUUCAAAUUGAUAACAAAACAUAUACCAGAUACUUUCGAUUUGAUUUGAUAAUUAUUAAUUAUUUAUAUAUCUAUCAGUGAUUUAUUACUGAUGAUAUACAUACACAUAAAAAAGUGAAAUCCGUAUAUCUUUCUGAAAAGUAUAUGAUGUAAAUGAUAUAAAAGACAUUCAGAUAAAAUUUUAAUGUAUGAAACUAGAAAUUUUGAAAACAAACUGUAUUAUUAACUUCCAACUUAAAAAUUAAGAAAAAUAUAAUCGAUAAUGACACCUAAAAAUACACGUGUAGACAUAAAAAUUAUACGCCCCAUAAUUUCAAAAUAUAAACAAGAAAAUCCAUCCACAUAACACCCACCUACCUGUCAUUCUUUUCAUUCCCCACAGCCAAGUAUACCAGAGAGAGAGCACGAGAGAGAGAGAGAGAUUAACAAAUGGAUUCACCAAAAUACUCCUCCGACUCGUAUACUCUCGCCGCCGGCACAAGUUCCGAUAACGAUAGUCCCCGAACUCCGUACGCCGUCAACGAAACUCUCCGUCUCCUUCAAUCCGACGAUCUCUCUUCCAAAAUUGAAGCUGCCAAACAAAUCCGACGCCUCAGCAAAACUUCCCACCGCAAUCGCCGACACUUCUCGUCGGCGAUUCCACAGCUCGUCGAUAUGCUCCGUUCUGACUCGGUCGAGUCCGCUCAGUCCGCGCUUCUCGCGCUCCUCAAUCUCGCCGUCAAAGAUGAAACGUAUGCGUCUUUCGUUCAUUUAUUUUCCGGUUAAAUAAAUUACUCUUUGUUUAAAUUUGAUUAAAUUAUGUUUAAUUGCUGUUGAUUAUAGUGAUUUGUUUGAUUUUAAUUAAUAAAGUUUGAAACUUCUUCUCUUAAUCAUACUUGUUGAAGCUUUGGUUAAUUAAUUUGAUUAAAUUGUAUAAUAUCUUUGCUGUGUGUUGUGGCUACUUAUUUAUCACUUUCUUGCUUUCAUACUUUCGAUAUAUAAUUAUAUAUGGAUUAGUCGUUGUGGGAAUCGGAAGAUUGUGUUAUAUUAUGUCAUCUUUGCUUUUUGAUGAGUUAGGAUUAUUAGUUUGUGUAAUUCCUUUGCAGUUAUAGGAUAUAGAUUUAAAUAAAUUAUAUAAGGCUUCUAAAAUUGAUAAGUCUUGCCUUAAACUAAAUAAGCAUUAGGACUUAGUGUUGCGAUAUUCUCGAGUAUCUUUGUCAUCCGAACAGUAACUCCUUAGCUCUACCUGAGUGGAAUAAAUAAAGGAAGAUUAUGGAAUAUAAGAUAUGCCAUAAUUACUGGCCAACUGAUUUGAAUUUAUAUAUAUAUUUGUAUAUUGAUGGGUCGUGUUAUGAUGGCAUCAUUAGAAAGGUUUAUGAUGUUUUGUAUGUACUCUAUCUGAUACUUUUUUAACACCACGCUUCAGAUGCUAUAUGGAUUGAUUAAAGAUGGGUUUUCUCCUUUGUUCACAUGUUACUCUUUCUUUUAUCUUGUUGUCUACUUGUCUUCCUUUUCCCUUUUCUUUUAUCUUCAAAAUGAAGUUAUCACAAGUAGGAAUUACCCUGCCAAGAAAGGAAUCCUAUUCCCGUCAUAUCUUCUUAUUAAAUAAUAUUUCCUAUAUUUGACUUAUCAUUAUUUUCACUUACAGACUUACAGUGGAAUAUUGAGUUCCAAAUACAUGUAGAACUAUGACAUGCAAAACAAAAUUUAUCAAGUGUAUGUUCUAUAAGAAAUGAUUGACCAUUGUAAAAUUUGAUUUUGGCUACUGCUUCAGCAGUUUGCUUUAGAACCCAAAACUUGAUACUUGAUAAAUAUUGCAGAUGUUAUAAUAGGCAAGGCCUAUGUGCUGUUUGAAACAUGUAUGUAUGGGGUUUUCUUUUUAAAUCUGGCUUUGCUUGGUUUUCAUUUAGGCAUAUAAGUUUCUUUACAUAUUUUUUGUAUAAUUUUUGCUUAUCUAGCCAAUAAAAUAAAUGGGUGACAAUCACUGCUUUGUUUGAGUGCUAGUUGGGUAUCAAUUAAGGCGACAGCAAUAUUGUGUAAAGGAAGUUCAUCUUGAACUGAAUAUUAAAGUAUUUUUGUUGAAUAUCUGUUUUUUAUUAACUGAUCGAGUCUCCGUGGAUUUCAUGAGUUCAUAUACUCUUUCAAAGCUUAUCUCUUACCUCUUAUCAUAGAGUUUACUAAUAUACCGUCUGUGCUUUUUAUGUGCUGCAGAAACAAGAUAAGUAUCGUUGAUGCUGGUGCCUUGGAACCAAUUAUUGGUUUUCUUCACUCAGAUAGUAACAUGCAGGAGCAUGCAACUGCUACUCUGCUCACUCUUUCUGCUGCUUCUGUCAAUAAGCCAGCUAUCGUGGCUUCAGGGGUUAUACCUUUCCUUGCGGACAUUUUAAGAGAUGGGAGCCCACAGGCGAAAGUUGAUGCUUUAAUGGCUCUUUACAAUCUGUCAACUCACCCUGAUUAUUGUAAAUUAAUUAUUCAUGCAGAACCUGUUCCUUCGAUAGUCUACUUGCUCAAGACCUGUAAAAAGUCUUCAAAACUAGCUGAAAAAUGUAGUGCAUUGAUAGAGUCUUUGGUUGAAUUUGAAGAGGCUAGAAUUGCAUUAACUUCUGAAGAAGGUGGAGUGCUUGCAAUUGUAGAAGUGCUUGAAAGUGGAUCUCUUCAGAGCCGAGAACAUGCACUUGGUACACUUUUGACCAUGUGUCAAAUCGAUCGAUGUAAAUAUAGAGAACCAAUCCUUAGAGAAGGUGUAAUUCCUGGUCUUCUUGAGCUGACUGUUCUAGGAUCCCAGAGAUCCCAGUUUAAAGCACAGACGCUUCUGAGGUUGUUGAGAGAUUCUCCCAAUCCAAGAACUGAUAUUCAACCUGAGACACUUGAGAAUAUCGUGUGCAAUCUUAUAUCUCAAAUCGAUGUGGAUGAACAAUCUGGGAAAGCAAAGCAGAUGUUGACUGAGAUGGUUCAGAUCAGCAUGGAACAGAGCUUGAGACAUUUACAGCAACGGGCUAUGGUAUGCACCCCUACGGAUCUGCCUAUUACUAGCUGUGCGUCCGAAGUUUCUUUAAAAUGAUUGUCUGCAUGUAUCAGAUCUUCUUUUGUUUUUGUUUUGAAACUUUCACGGGUAUGGGGUUUUGGGGAACUACUGUACAAAUGAAUAAAGAAGAGAUAGGACGAGGAAAGCCAGUCCAGGCCUAUGUGAUGGUAUCAAGUGACUGGUAAGUAUUGUAAUAAACUGGAUAUACAAAGAGGUGGUUAAUAGUAAUAGUUUAUGUACUAUGUUUGGAUCAAAUACUCUGUUAUAAACUUAUAAUUGUAGUACUACUGCAACAAUCGGAAGUGUUUCUCAUGUUCUGCCUCAUAAUGUGUUUAUCGACUAAUCUCCCUAUACCAGAUGAUGUCAUUUUAUCAUUUUAUCUUUCUCUGGUGAUAAAUCUUCUUGUGAAUACCAUCCUUGCCCAAAGUAUAUGAAAUUUUGUCCCUUAGGAUUGUAAAUUGAGGCCAGCCUACCGUUUAGUAUCAACAAUAGAUUUCUGGAGCGUCCUUCGAACUAUGGGGAUAACUAUUUCAGCGACUCUGAUAUUCCUGUCAGCUUUUCUGAGAUUCCUUUCGUUUACGAAACCACUGAUUGAAGGUGCAGCUGGGGAACUUCUUCAAAGCUUCCUCAGAUGCAGCUGGGGAACUUCUUCAAUGCUUCCUCAGAUUUGCCGAUCGUUCACGUUCUUAUUCAGUUGGCAAAAGAUCAAAUCCAUUUUCAAGCAUUUGUUCGUGAUAAACAUUAACGACCCAGCUUCGUAGCACAGUAGCACUAUAUAUGUAAUAGCAAAUAAUCACAAAUAUUGAAUCUAGAAAGAGCAUGCUUAUUUAUUGAGAGGGUUAAGUUGGAGAACCUUUCCUAGACCGAGUCUGUGACGCGGAGAUUUUCGCUCCGAGUUCUUCGUAUUUUGCUCAUAUAAUUAGUUUUUAUAAUUAUUUCGCUCAAUUUCUUCAGAAACAAAAAUAUCACAAUUGUUUAAGAUUAAAUUUUUUUUAAACAUAUGUAUUAAACUAGACUAAACUUUAACCGAGAGGCAUGAAUUGGGGUUUAUGAAUUUUGUGUAGCCAUGAUAAUCUGCAAAAUGUUGAAUAUAUGUGAAGAACAAACCUAUAUUAUCAGAUAAUUGAUGAGUAUACAACAUAUUUAGAUAUAAGAAACACAAGAGCAUGAAUAGCCUUGGGAGAUAUAACGUUUAUCUUCAACCUUACAAUGUUACCAAAAGAACAAUUUUACUACUCCACUGCAGAGCAGAAGCAAGAGAAGUCCCUUGUCAACGAAAUGUCGUCCGCUUCCACCAUAUACCACCAUAUUGAAAGGAUGAUUUUCGAUGGGGUACAAGUCUCCUCCUGGUGGACCAGCGAAGUAGAUGAACCUUGGAGGUGGUGGACCUGUGAAGUAGAUGAAUCUCGGUGAUGGUGGUGCAUUUGGUGGGCAAUACUGCUUUGGUGGCAGCAGCGCUGGGGGAGGUGGAGGUGGCGGUGAUGGUGGUGGUGGCGGUGGAGGAGAAUAUUGUUGACUGCAGGGGUUCCCGCAUGGGCACUCCCCACAUUUUAUAGAAGGAUCAGGAAGUACUGGAAUGGUUUCUGCUUGUUGAUCAUGCUUCACCAGAGGAGUAUCAGUGGCGCCGCAAGUGAUGAUCACAGGAGAAAAUAACACAAUGAAUAUAAGCAUCCUCAUUGAAAUCGAGAUUGUGCAAAUGCUACUCCUAUGCUAGUUGAGUUAUUAUUUUUCUAGUGAUGGAGAAGAAACUAAGGUAGAGAAUAGGAGGAAGCUAUAAAUGUUAAGAAGGAAAUAUAUAGGAGAGUUGGAGUCUUGUGCUUCACACAUACUAGGGAGUCAAAAGUCUCCCGUGAGCUGAACUCAGGUACCAUGUUAACUGACCAGUUCUUCCAAAAUCUCGAGGUGUUAGGAGGAUGACACAUUCUAUUUACUAAUAAGUUGUAUUAGUAAUUUAAAUUGACAGUUUGUACUUGGCAAGGUAAAAGAGGUCAUAAUUGAACUCUCUCUGAGCAAUAUGUAAGAGGUAGUGAGAAUUAUUCUCUGACAUAGGUAACACAGGUCUCUUGAUAUCGAAUUAUUCUGUGACAUGGGUAACACAGGUGUCGGUUAUGGCUAUGCAAGCGCGGUUACAUCAAAAAGUAUUCAUUCUUCCCCCUUCUUCAUUGUUCUUCUAUAAAUCUGUUGGAGUCGAGUUAGGUUGAAAUUAGGUUUCCUUAUUUAUGGAGAAGGAGACUUGGUAAUGUCAAUAAUGAGGGUAAUGUUUUUGGUUAUAUACAGUAGCUAAGAUCAUGAAUGCGUACUGCAUGUGGCUGGUGUAACUAUAUAGGACCCUCAUCUUUGUUAGCUUCUCCUUCAGUUUCACUUCUACUGAAAAUUGAAUGCAUCAAAACACAAAGUACAGUUACAAACUGCAACUGUAUUCACUGCUGCUAAUAGAAUUCCCUGACAGAAUAUAUUCUGCAGAGCAGGACACUCCACAUUCUCCGCAAACAAUUAUUAUAUACACCAUCAACAACUAUUGUGUCUAUAUAUGCCCGAGCUGAUGAUAUUUAGAUAUAUUUUCGGGCUGCACAUAAGUGUUAAGCAACAAGAAUGUCUUCUUUGAUAUUAAAAAAAAUAUACAUGACCUGGAAACAUAGAGAAAGGCAUCAAAUCUAAAGCACUGGGCAUCACUUUAUGGCUGCCCCAGAGGAAUAUAUACGAGCUAAUCUUUGACAGAAUUGUAAGAAUAAUAUUGGCGGCCAGUAUUUUGUGUCCCAAAAGCAAAAACUGCGUUGUGCAGAGAAUUCGGAAACAUGCAAGAAAUAAUGACAUAUACAUGCAUCAAUUCAGAAACGAGAUUAAUUAGAAACCACACCAGAUAAACUUAAUUUGAUUUCAGUUCUCAGUUUAAAAAUUCUACCAAACUAUUUCAUGUGAUGUUAAUCGCAAGUACACUAUAUUACACUAUAUGCAUUCUGUAUCGGCUUAAUAUUCAUUUCCCUGAGAAUCGAGUGCAAAAAACCUAAAGUAAAAGAUCUGUUACAAAUUACCUUUAUGCUGAUCAUCUGCUUUAGUAAGUGGCUGUAGUUCUCAAUAUCUUAAAGCCAUCACAUGCUCUGGAAUCAUCAAUCAUCCACAACAAAUAUGUCAUAUAUGUCUGUGGGCUGGCUGCAUACCAAAAAGAAAAAAUAUAUUGUCAGAUCUUUUGUUGCAAUAUACCUGACCAGCCCAUUAGAAAGACUGGACUUGAUAGGUAUUAUUACACAGCAAUAUCCAGCAAGGGCCCAAACAUGAAACAAGCAACCUGAAGCCUUUCUUACUGCUCAUAUACAAAAAUGUAGCAAUAUAAAAGAUUAGUUGGAAGAUACUGUGCACAUUAAGGGAGGGAGGGGCCUGGCCUUUGCUUGUAAGCCAAAACUAACUUUCCUCUUUACUUGAUGUCCAAAGCAAGCAAGCCACUAUCCAUUUUAUAUAAUCACAUACUAUAUGUAGUGGUAUCAACUGAAAAUAUAAUAACCCUUUCUGUGUAAACUGUUUAAAUCUUGUAACAUUACUGUUUCACCUAAAUGUGAGUAGAUGUGCAUGUAAAAGAACUAUUAAGAUCUGAUUUAUUUUAUUUUAUGUACAUGUGUAAUAUAUUGAUCAAGCAAUUGUACAGAUUUAAUCAAGACAACUAAAGAAAAAGUGAGACUCUAUACACAGAUCUGUGCAAAUUACAUGUUUCAUGUUUGGGCGGUGCUAGUAAAGUAGUGGUGGUGGUGGCCUGAUGGGUUAACCAUACAUUUAAAGAGUGGUUUGAUCAUCAGUAGUUUUCAAGACUACUCUCAUUGAUUAGGGCAAGGCCCCAAAGGGACAAACAAGGCUCUAUCAUAUUCAUAUCCUACCCUACCCUUUUUAUUUCCAACCUUCUGGUCUGCGAAAAUAGUUGUAUAUAGUGAAAACUGCCUGAGUUUAACAAGUAAAUCACGGCUGGUAAACCACGGCAAAUGCACUUGGCAUCUCUGUCAAGGUUACCAGUGUAAAUUUGUGGGCUUACUAAAACACUUUUCGUGAGUUGAUGUUUUACUAUGCUCAGCAAUUAAUGGUCCUAGUAAAGUCCCAAAUAAUUUCAUCAUCAAGACAGAGUGUAACAUUGUACUGGUAGACUUGGCUACUCAUCUUCUUUAUUAUUAACCUUAGGUCACUUAUAUAACUCUUGCUACUGGUGCAACAACCUUCUCCAUACUAUCCCUUAAUCUCAAACACCAACGCUUGUUGAUAACAAAUAUAUGCGAUGCUGAUCAAGACAAUACCUGCUGAAUACUUUUCUACACACAAUAAACUCCCAUUCCUGCCAACACCCACAAUCACUACCUUCAUCCUCUUACUCUCAAUCUUCUCAGUGGUGACAUUUCUCUGUGCUUCACACAAUUUCACAGGUUCACGACAGAGGAAGGGGGAGUUGAAAACAAUUAGAUUAGGAGGUGGUGAAGAGAAAAAAGGUUUGUCGAAAUUACAGAGUAAAAUAACCAGCAAAGCUCAACUAAUGGCGAGGAUGGUGUCUUGGAAAAAAAUACAAGAUACUGAAAAAGAAAGGCACCAAGAAAGCGGAUACUCUGAUGAAGAUGAUAAUGCAGAAGAAGAAGCUGUCUGGAAAAGGACAAUCAUUAUGGGGGGAAAGUGUCGGCCAUUGGAAUUCUCAGCUGAGAUUGCAUAUGAUUCUCAUGGUAAUCCUAUACUUCAUUCCAUGAGUUAUGAAAAGAAGAAUUCGGUUGGAAAGUAGUUAUCUUGUUUAAGUUCGAUUAUAAUUCUGGAAGAAUCUUGAUUAUAAUUCUUGAGUGGAGUGCUGAUAAAUCUUGAUUAAUUUAAUGACAGACUUGUAAUUUUCUAAUGUGUGCUAUUACAUUUUCCAUUGGUUCGUGUCUUGUUUUCAGAUUUUUGUAGAUAUAUCAUCGGUGUUAAAUACUUUUAGGAGUGCCUCACUUAUUUGUAAGUUUCUAAUGUAUGCUAGUAAAAUUUCCAUUGGCUCGUGUCUUGUUGUGAGAUUUCUACUGUAGAUACAUUGUCGGUGUUUAUUAUUUUUAGAAGAGUGCCUCACUUAUAUGGUAAGAUUGGUUUGCUGAUUCACCAUCCAGAUUAAGUUAAAGUACUGUUAUAAAUUUUAGAUAUUCUCCAUGUACAUUCCUAUAUUGGAUAUUGAUGAUAGACCAGACUAGCAACUUAAGCUGCUUAGGAAAAUUCUCUACCUGUGUAAUCAUUACCACUAUUAAAAGUUCUUUGUACUAUUUUAAUAUAUAGAUAGAAGAAUGAACAUAUUUGGGGUCAUCAUAUCAGUUCACAAUACAGGAAGCUUUAGCAAGACCUACAACAAGGAUUGAUUGAUACUCUAAUAGCAAGACUUCUUGCCCCCUGUACAAUGACCGAAGAUCAUGGGUUCAUAUCAUGUCCAGCCAGAGAGCCCCUACCGGCCUGCUUGUAUACUUAAUCUAAAUUCUAAUGCAUUUAAAUAUAUAUAAAAUACCGAAAAGACACCUAAAACAUGUUAAUGUCAGGGGUUCAGGGCCAGAACAAGAUACGGUGGCCUCUCAGAUUUGUACCAAACGCUUGGAUUCAGAUCAAGAAUUAUGAACAUAGAUUGUGACAUAUACAUAGAAGGUUUGCACUACGCAUACACAAAAACCUAUAUUAAAUAUGAUGAUAACAAAUAGUGAAAACUUACUAUAUGUAAUUCGGCAGUUUAUCUGGUGCUAUUAUCAGAUCCAGGGUUCUGCUGAAUAAUUGUUGAUGUGCCAAAGUGGAAGCUUCAUCUCCUUUCUUUAACUGCAACUCUGUGUCGCAAACUUUUGCAUCUCCAUAUAAAUUACAAACACAUAAUCCACUGCUUUAGCUAUCAUGUACCUGCGUAACUAUUACUUUUUUUUGUCACGACACCAGUUUUAUCUGAAGUAGUCAGCAAUCAACAUACUGCUCAAGAUCAGGUACUUACAUCCAAUCAUCUAUAACAUUGCAUUUCCAGUUGACGACUACCACACAAUACAACUUGCAGAUUAUGUUAUCCACAGAGGUGUAGUUACCUGGGUCACUGGGUGGUAGUUGUAGCACUUCAUCUCACUGAACUGGCAAUAUUAUAGGUAAUCUAUCAUAAUUGCUAAUCUGAACUUUACACUCAGCAAAUUCUAGACUAAUACAGAGAAGUGGGAACAUAUCAGCGAUAACAAUCAGAAAGAAAUAUUAAAUAUAACUUUAUAAAUGACCAUUCAAACAUGCAUAUGAUAGAACUUUCUUUCGAGUUGUCUAAGUAAUCAUUGUACUUUAAACAAGUGACGAAACAAUGUCACAUAUCUUUCCAGCUUCAAUGUAUUAAGCAUUCAACAAUGAAUGUAUACAAAGUAAAGAGAGGUCUUUAAAACAAUCUACAGAAAUUCUGAAGGUGAAUUAGCAUCCGGCUUUACUCCAUCAUCUAACCCCCCUGGAUGCUGCAAAUUUUGCAAAAUCUGAUGAGGCAAAGUCCCCAACCCAGCACCUAAACCAUCAUUUCCAGACCCAAAAAAUUGACACAUAACCCUUGCCAUAACUUGCAGAACCUGCAUUUGGUUCUGACAAGCAUCGGCAUGCAUUUGCAUCAUCUGCUUCUCAUGCUCAAUCUGCAUUUUCACCAUCUUCUCCCUCCACUCCAUCUCCUCUUCCUCCCACUUCUCCUCCACCUUCAUCCUCCUCACUCUCUCCUCAUCAAACUCCCUCUCCAUCCUCAUCCUCCAAUCCCUCUCCCUCCUAGCCAGCGCAACUUCCCUCUCGUCCAACUCCACCUCCUUAACCUCAACCUCCUCAUCUCUUUCAGUCCUCCGCAUCUCCUUCAUUAUCUCCCUCUCUCUCCUCCUCUCAUCUCUUUCCACCUCCCCAUCCUCCCUACUCCACUCUCUCUCCCUCCUCCUCUCCUCUCUCCGAGUCACGACAUCCCUCAACUCCAAAACUUGUGCACCCAACAACCCUAACCUCCUCCCCACAAAACCCUUUUUCCCUCUCCCAAAUCUCUCCAACCCCUCUCUUCCCUCCUCCUCAUCCUCAUCAUCCCCAUACUCCCCCAACAAAUCAUCAAAGUCAUCAUCCCCAUCAUCCCCAUUCCUCGAAUCACCAAACAAAUCAACACCCUCAUCACCAAACCUCUUAAAGCUAUCACCUUUAACCUCCAACUCAACAUCACCAAACACCUCCUUAUACUUCAUGAAAUUCUCCCAAUGAUUCUCACCAUCUUUCCAAUUGAACUCACCAUCUAAACCCCUAAUCUUCUGCUUCACACCCAAAUACUGGUGCCUCAUGUUCUGAACCUUAAUCGACACAUCACGCCAAGACCAUCUGAAAGGGUACUUAAUUGGGUCAAUGAGAUGAUGAACGGAGUUGACGUGAUCGGCGAUUGGCUUGAAUUUCUUCUCCCGGGUCCUGAGUUUAGCUAGGGUUCCGGCAGAGAGUAGUUCGGAGUAUUUGGAAAGGAGGGUGAGUUCUUCAAGCUCCGACCACUUCUUGCGCUUCAUGAUCGUAGGAGAGUUGUCGGAGUUGGAAGUUGAGGCGAGACAGAGUUGCAGAGAUAUAGGAAUUUUAUUUUAUUUUAUAAUUUAUAUAGUUGAGCACUUGAGGAUCACUGAAUUUUUUUUUUUUUUAUAAAAACAUAAUAAAAAAUAAUCUAUAUAUCAGGAAAUCUGCAAAAUUAUCAUUGUUUUCAAAAAUUAUUUUUAAAAUAUAACCAAAAUUGUUGUAACACGGUAACACCUAUGUUUUCAUGGUAGAAUUAUUUAUAAUUGAUGUUGCAGGGAAGGUUGUAUUGUAUUUUGAAAAUAAUUUUGUAAUUUAUAUACUAUUUGAAAAUUUUUAUAUGUUAUUAAUCUCUUUAACUCAGUUAAAAAUAAUAUUUUGAAUUUAUUAAAUUUUUAGAUGAAAAAUGCAAAUGGAAUCAGGAGCUUUAUUAUACAUUUCUGAAAUGUACUAUUUUAAAAAUCAUAGAGUUAUUCAAGCUUGAUUUUAGACUUUUUAUUUAUUCAAUCUUGAUUUUUAGAUAUCUUUAUUAAUAAAUUUAAAUGUAUUUAAUUUCAAUUGAAAAAAUAUUAUAAUUUAAAUUAUUUUUAUAAUAUCUUGAUAGACUUAAAAAUUAUAAACAAAAUAAAGUUUUAACUUUACCGUACGACAUUAUAAACAAAGGGAGAAUAUUAUCACCAAAUAUAAUAGUGGCUGACUAGCUGAGAGGGGUGGGGUCCCAAGAGUUAACGUGGCUGGCGGUAUUGCCUGCAGUACAAAGAAUAAGCCGCCGGUAAGUCUCUCUGCUAAUUCAGCGAGAGAGAGAGAGAGAUAGCGAGAGCGAGAGAGAUUGAUUCGAUGACGACUCAUCCAUGAAAUUUGUCCGACCUACUCUCUUUUCAAUUGUAGUGUAGUUUUCACCUAUUUACUGUUCGCUCUCAAUUCUCGCACGCAAUUGUAUAAUAAUAAAAAAGAUUCAAUCUUGAUGCUCAUUUCUUUGACCCACACCACUUCUCUGUACAAAAUCAAAACUUUCAAUUGCAGGUUUCGCAGCUUCAAGAAUCAGGCCAUGGCUCCUCCUCCUCCGAUUCUUUCGCUGGAGCUUCCAUCUGAUACUGGCCGAGUUCUCAGCCUUCAGUCUCACACUGUUCAGGCAUAAUCUCAUUAAUUUUUUCUUAUAUUUGUGAAUUAACAUGAUUAUUAUCAGAAUUGUUGAUUGUGUGAUUCUGAAUUGCAUGUUUGUUUUCGAGAAUUUGUUGAUGUUGGAACAUAUUUUACAAUGACUGGUAAUGCUAUAGUUUAAGAAUUUCUGAUUAGGAGCAAAUGAGAGUGAAUUUAGUUGGUUGUAGAAUUGAAUAUUGAAUUUGUGUUGAUAGAAGAUCACUAUCUUGAUAACACAGAUUUAGCUCCGAGACUAUAAUCUUAGUCCUCAACUGUCUUUACAGUGUAUGACUUUUAAAGUUUGAUUAUUGAUAAUGCUCCGGCCUCCCCUUUACCAAAUUUCUCCCUUUUCCGGUGAUGGAGUUGUGUUGCUGUGGUUGGGUGCAAUAAAGUAACUCCGGCGUGAGAGUAACUGAUGGGGGAUAUAACCAAAGCAAUAAUCGGAAAAUGUCCUAGUGACUUGAGAUUAUAGAGAGUGUUUUUGUGCCUGAGUCGUGUGAAUGUGUGAGAUGAAUGUGUUCUAAGUGUGUGACAUUACCUAGGUAUUUCAUGUCUACUAGUGUUGUCAAAGGAUGCACGGACUGAUUCUCAGGUUACAAGGUUUCUGCACCUUUUUUGGAGGAGUAACCUAGCAUGACCAUGACGUAUGCCCUUGGCGAGUGCGGCGGCGGGUAGAGACCGCCGCGGGUAUUAACAAUCAUGAACUUUGAAUUUAGAGAGGAUAGUUUUCAUGCAUUGCACAACAGUAGUUGCUUAAAAGUUUGUUCAAAUUAUUCGUCGGAAGCAGAAUAUAUUUGACCAGAAGUGACGAAUAGUCUUCUUUAAACUAAAAUAGAAAAUAGAAAGGGCCUUUUAAGUUUAUGCAAGUUGCAUGCAUUCAUUUUUUGUAUCGAAAAAUAAUUCAAGAUGAAUUUAUAAUAAAACAUCACUUCAUAGAUGUUCAAUUCCAUUCCAUCUACUUUUUCCGUAACACAGGCAUCAUUACAACUACCUGUGCAAUCUAUCUUAUCACUGUUUAUAAGGUCAUUGUUUCAGCAUUGCAAUACAAAGACCAAGUAGAGUAGCAAAUCUUUGCAGUUUUCACCAUCACAACCAGAUGCAUGAUUGUUUUUUUAUUUUGGAAAUGCAAUUGUAAUUAAGAUGGAUAUGUACUUCAGAUUACAGACUCAUUUAACUUUUGACAUGUUUUUUUUUGUGUUGUAUUUUGUUCAUUAAGUUCUGGUUGAUUUCUUCUAUACUUGUAUGAGUUUGUAUCCAUCUUCUAUUUGGAUUAUAGAAUACCUCAUCAUUGGAGCAGUUUAUGUAGAUUAUUAAUAACAACUUUACUUAUAUGCUUUUUUAAUAUUCACGACGACUUAAUAAUUUUAUGCAUUUUCCAUAAUAGGCUGUUUCUUAUUUAUUCUUAGGGUUAUGUCGGGAAUAAGGCAGCUGUCUUUCCUCUCCAAUUACUUGGAUUUGAUGUGGAUCCAAUAAACUCAGUCCAAUUUUCAAACCACACAGGCAAGCUGCUUAAAUCACUUCAUUUUUAAGUAAUAUGAGGACAUAUUUGGUGCAACUUUCAAGGUCAUUCAUGAAUAUGUGUGGCUUCUGUCAUGAUCACAUCAGUUGGUUUAAUCAAUUGGGGAAUACCAAAUUUGCAGGAUACCCAACAUUUAAGGGGCAGGUCUUGGAUGGAAAACAAUUAUGGGAUUUGAUAGAAGGCCUUGAAGCAAACAACUUAUUGUUCUACACACAUUUAUUGACAGGCAAGUGCAAUGUAACACACCUCCAUCUUUUAUUCCAUAGUUUGCACAAAAGUAGGAGUGUAAAGAUGGAAAGGGGUGUUACGGCAUGCGAACAUAAUCCUAGUGUUGCUUGCAUCACGAAGGAAAGAAGGGAUGGAUAAAUGUUUUGGGGAGUUGGAUUAAAGCUCAAUAUUUCGUUUUUCUUGUUCGGACUCCAUUCAAUCUUACAAGACAUUAUUUUGCUCGUCUGUGUGCAGGUUAUAUUGGUUCUGUAUCCUUCUUGACCGCGGUAUUAGAAGUCGUUGAUAAGCUUCGUUCUAUAAACCCAGACCUUAAAUAUGGUAAGUUGAUCAGUGGAUGCUUAACUCUGGAAGAUGCAGUUUGCCUUGGUUUUUUUUUUUCUAGUAAGCUUUGACAGUAGUUUUUUAUUCUACAACGCAUUUACAGCUCCCUGCGCACAGAUUAUCUUUUUACUUUGAAAAGUUAAUUUCGAAACUUGAUCCUAUCUUUGAGCAAUCUCCUCCUGAUCUGUCAUGUAAACAUACUUUUUUUUUACUGUUCUACGACAUUAUGCUUCUUUUACGUACUAGUAAUGUCAUUUGUGAUUCAACAAAUUGUAUAUUAUGUUUGACCUAGAGUAUCUGAACUUUGUGGCCAUUCAAUAAGCCCAUAAUGAUAUAUUUGCAGUUAUAACAUGGACAGGAGAGCAUGUAGAAUUAUUUAAGUUUUGACCAUCAAGUUUUGGAGUGGUGCUUAGACGAGACAUAAUUUUUUUUGUAUUUGUGUAGACAUGCACAAUUUUGAUUGCAAUAUUUGACCUACGAAGGCUCCUGUCUCAGGUUGUUAUUUUAGUAUGCGUGCGUUUUAUUACUCACUAAACUGGGCCCUUUGUUUCAGUUUGUGAUCCAGUAAUGGGUGAUGAAGGAAAGCUUUAUGUUCCACCAGAAUUGGUGUCUGUAUACCGUGAAAAGGUAUCUUUUCAAUAUUUCUACAUAAUAGUGCAUUUUCCAACAUCAAGUGACAGCGAAUACAUACUUCUAUACCUUUUCUGCUUAAAAUUUUCUACUUUUUCUCUGAAAAGUGAAGUGAUCCUAUAUAUCAAAUCAUCCAUUCCAAUAAAGAUAUGUCCAACACUUAUUUGAUACGUCAUUGCGCGGCAACAAUUUGCUAUGUAUUCAUUUUUGUAAUUCAUGCUUGUGAUUAAUGUUCGACCACUUCCAUAAUUUCAUUUUAUACUCAGCAUUUACUCUUCGGUAUCUGGAUUUUCAUUUAAAUACUUGAAAGUUGAAAGUCUAGUCCUGUUCAAGGCCAAGUUGUCAAAUUGUGUUCCCUGACUCGGGUAUGGGUGUCGGACACGGGUGUGGAUCCCAGAUUCAGGUUCUUAGUUUUAGAAUAAUUAGGAUUCUUGGAUAUGGAUCCGGAUUUAGACACGGGUGCUGGGACUUGGCACAUAAGCUUAAAGCAAGUAAACUUUAUAUAGACUGAAUUAUUACACAUUCAUGUAAAUACCGUCUACUAUACAAUAAUAAUCACAUAAACGUAAUUAUGUAUGUUAAUUGUAGCAUAAAAUCAAUAACACAACUUAAAAGCAAGUCAUUCAUGUACCUUUCUCUCUUUAAUAUAGCUGCACCAAGACCUUGAUUUUAAUUUUGAACUGGGAUCGUACAAGGUGAAGUGUCAGGUUUUAGUGGAAAGGACCCGACUCGGAUUUUAUACCCACAUAUUUUGUUUGCACAAGAGUCUAGCUUCUGUUGCAGCAAUAGUGUGACCAGUUGCAAUUUUGGUUAUACCGUAAGAUAUCAUCAUUAAUUUUCUAUUCAUUCUGGUGCUUGGCCCUUUUACUCAGCUAUCAUAUAUGGUUCUGGAAUCUGGAUAUUACAAACUAUGCUGUAUAAUUUGUAUAUUGUUUAGCUAUGUCAUUUAACAUUAUCAUAAUCCACCACCUAAGUUUUUGGAGGUUGCAAUGCAAUCAUAUAUGUAACAAAGAGGGAAAGUAAGAAUGUUUACUUUGUAGAGGCAUUCCCAAAUCAUUGGCUUGAUUUUGAUCUUGUAGUUCUGUAUGGUAGAUGCAUCAGCUUUGUCACAGUUAUUCCAUUAUAGUAGUUUCCUAGUAAAUUUGUUAUCUAUUGACUUUCUCUAUAAUUAAUCAUCCUGUCAAGGUUGUUCCUGUUGCUUCAAUGUUGACCCCUAAUCAUUUCGAAGCAGAGCAGUUGACUGGUUCCAGGUACUUAUUGAUACUAAAGGAUGAGCUCAUUUAUGGUUAUAUAUAAAUGGAUUUAAUCUGUGUUAAGAUAGUGAAUUCUGCAAGUGAUUACUGUGGAGCAAUAUGAUAUUAUGAUAAUUUUACAUAAGUGUUUUCUCAGGUCAAAAUAGUUCCACCUACCGAGUACUUCUGCAACUACACAUUAUAGCUGCAGUAGUCAUGUUCUGAAAUUUUUAUGCACCUAAGUGAUGCUAUUUGGUCUCAUAUAGAGUUAUACCAUUACAAGGAUAAGAUGAAACAAGUGUUUAUCUAAUUUGCACUUACCAGAAGAAUGUAUACAUCUUUGUACUAAGCAGUAUAUAUCUGUUGCAGGAUCUUGUCUGAACAAGAUGGUCGAGAAGCUUGCAACAUUCUUCAUGCUGCUGGACCAUCAAAGGUAUUAUGUACAUUCUUAUUAUAUAUGCUCUCAGCGGAAUUUUAUUUGCGAGUGUAUUGCACUUCUACAGCAUUUGAAGAGUUGAUAGGUCAAAAUUUUGGUAUUUGACUUGUAUUAGUACUUUGUCCAAAAAAUAAUAUUAAACUUAAGCUUAACAUGACACAAAGAGAAAUAUUAAACAUGAUUCUAUUCAAGACACUAGUAAAAUAUAAAUCAGCUCUAUCAUGACCAGGUCACAACUUCUAUACAGACUGUUUUAGGUUUCUUGCAAUAGUCUGUGUUACAAGAUAAUAUAUUAUAUAUAAUAGAUCACAGAAACAUAUUAAGUGUUUAUGCGGGAUAUCAGAACUGUAAAGAUGGUGAAGAAAUUUUGUACCUAAAACUAUUAUAUCUGUUUAUGCAUAUAAUCUGUAGGACAUCAUGCAUUAUGACAUAUGAUACUAUAAUAAUUAAUGGUGGCACAAUCAUUAACCGAAGUACUUUAUAUUAAGAAACUGUUCAGUAGCCCAGACUGUUCUCUAGGCUGUCAUCCAGUUCGCAGAACACCACCAUACACUGAAAUUUGAUUAAUUUAAAGUUAUGCAAGAAACUUUAUUUUCCUUCAUUAAACCAAUAUCAUCAGUCUAGUCGGUCGAUACAAACUUUUAAUAUUAGGCUAUAAUCUACACUGUCCAUCUUUAAAAUCAUAGUAUUUUCCCCAAAAUGUCAAGAAUCUACACCCAGUAUGUUGUAGUUUAAUUGUACCCCUUAAAUUUAGGAUGCAACACAAAGUGUCAAAGAGAAUGUAGAAGUCUCGCAGAGUAACAUCCAAUAUGCUGGUUUAAAUUUGAAUGCUCGCUGUCAACUUAACUACCAAAGCUAUUUGAUGUAAAUUUUCAUGGGAUGCACAAUGUCUAAAAUCUAAAAUUUUCUCAUGUAUAGGUUGUGAUAACGAGCAUGAGUGUAGAUGGAAACCUCAUCCUCAUUGGGAGUCAUCAAAAAGAGAAGGUAAUUAUCCUGAGUUUUAGGCAUAUAGUGGGUGUUUGUUUCCCGCUUUUAAGCCGGGCUUCUAGUUUAUAAGUUAGAAGCACUUAUUUCGUACCGUUUGUGUAAAAAGUCAAGAAGCACUUAUAAAAAGCUAGGAAUGUUAGCUUUUGUUUCAGGGAUUCUGCUUAUUUCUCAAACACUUUAAUCACUUAUAAGUUUUAACUUGCUUCUAACUUCUACUCUACUUUUUUAUUUUAAGCAAGAAGCACUUAUUUUAAGCUCACCCAAACGGCCCCUAGUUUUCUUUCUUCUUCUUUUUCUUUCUUGCAUACUAAAUGCUUCUGCUAAAAAAAGUUUGGUCACUUGGCUUUAGUAUUGAUCCUUUUCGUGUUAUGUGGGGGAACAAUCACUUUGUUAUAUCAGCAAAAAUCAAUUGUUCCUGCUUUGAUUGGCCUGCAUUAUCUUUUUCCUGCAACUUCUGUUCAUUUUACUCCCCUUGCCCUAGAAAGGCAAAAAGAAUGCUUUUAUUGAAUUUUUUGGUCAAAUUGACCAAUUUUUUACUUCAAUUUACAAGAGCUUUUUUAUAUUUUAACACCCGGACUAUGCAGUUUUGUAAUUUUGUAGUAGAUUAAUUUUGUAACAACUGUGCUUUAAGCCAUUUUCGACCUUAAGCUAACAAAUGUCUGUUUUUGUAAUAAGCCAAAACUCGGCUUAACGUCAGAAAUAAUCCAGAAACUGACUUAAAGCCAGAAGUUAGUUUGAGGUCCUUUUAUAGUGACCUAAUUUUUUUGAUCCUUUUUUUUUGAUAAAAAGUACCCAUAAAUCAUAAGUUACCCAUAAAUCAUUUUUAUUUUUAUUACCCAAAUUGGCAUUUUAAGCUCCUAGCCUAUUACAUUAAGUCAUGUUAAGUCAUUAGUCACAGUUUUAAGCUCAACCAGACGGCCUCUAAAUGUAAUGACUUAUAAUGCCUAUUCUUUGUUUUGAUUCAACGGAAUGUUAUUAAUAAAUUACCAGCAUUAUGAUCCAAAUAUGUUAUUGUUUUUGUUAAUUAUUCUUACAUAUUAACUGUAAUAUUGUAGGGUCAAACUCCAGAGCAGUUCAAAAUUCUGAUACCCAAAAUACAUGCAUAUUUCACGGUAUGUUUAUAUUGUUAGAAUCCUGCUUUUCUUGGUGUUGUAUUAUUUUACAUGGUCUCAAAGAUUAUGUAGAAUCCCUUCUUGACUUGAGUUGGUAUCAGAUUCUAAUCAUGCAUUUUAAAUUGUUAUCUCUAUGCCUUUUUCUUUUCGAGUGCCCAUCAACAAGUGAUUUAAAUUGUAUAAAAUUGAUCUGUUUUACAUUUACGGUAGUAAAUUGGGUUUAAUAUCGAAGUGGCCAUUGUUCUCGUUAAAAUAUCUCACCUAGCUACCGAUCCUCAUGUGGACUCAUUUUUCACACUCAAAUCUGUGUAAAUAUCACUACUUUAAAUUAAGAAAAAGUAAGAAGAAAACUUAACAUAAUUCUAGUCACAAGGUGAAGUGUACUACAUUCGAUUCAUAUAAUAAUGAUAAAUUACAAUUGUACACAGAGGCACGUUAAAACCCAUAUAUGAACAUAGAUAAUAUGUUUAUUUUUGAAAAUUUUUCUUGACACCUUCAACCCUAAUUUGAUCUUGUACUUGAUUUAAUGAACAUUAAACCAAAUAUCCCGAAUUGCCUAUAUCUAAAAAAAAUCCCCAAUUCUGUUGAUUAGUUUCCAAAAUUUAACAAGAGUGAAAUGUAUAGUGAUCUGAGUGCUUUGAAUGAGUUCCCAUGGAGAUCGGGUGGCUAGGUGAGGUAAUUUUGACAGGAAUGAAGACCGCUCUGAUAUGAAACCCACUGUAGAAUAUGUUACACAGAAUGACAGGUAAAGGAUGUACUAUUGAAAUUCUUUUAGAGCCCCAUAUAUUUGCAUGUCCUUCCGUUUGAAGCAAAAAACCACUUCUAAAAUUAUAAAAAGUAAUAUGGUGUUGAUGAAAAUUACUAGCCAGUUCACUUAUGAUUUCCCCAACCGAGAAAUAAUGCACUUAAAUACUACUCCCUAUGUCCUAGGUUCUUUACAUGGGGACAGACGGCUUGACAGACAUUUUAAGACUCCUAUAAAGUAUAGUUUCAUAAAUUAUUUUAAAUUUUUUUUUUUCCUUCUGGUUUAAAUUUUUAUACAAAAAUAGAAAAUUGAAAAUAAGUGUUGAAACUAUAUUUUAUAUACACCUUAAAAUGUGUAUGUGUGCCAAGCAGUGCAAAUAACCGUAAAGAAAUGAGAGAGACGGAGGGGCAAUUUUUAUGGGCAUUCUGUAAUAUGCUAUCAUAAAUGUAGAAUGUAUAAGUAUUUUUCUUGAGCAUAAAUAUGUUGCUCUUAAGAUCUUCUUAGUAAGCAUCACCUAAUAAAGGUAUGUACAUUUUUGCAGGGAACAGGAGAUCUAACAACUGCAUUAUUACUUGGUUGGAGCAAUGUAAUGAAAUUAAUAAUUUGGUCAUCAGACGAAUAUUAAGUUAUCAUCCUAAAUAUCUUGACCCUAAAUAUCUUGACCAACCAGAUCUUUCUUUUUGUACAGAAAUAUCCUGAUAAUCUUGACAAAGCAGCAGAGCUUGCUGUAUCAAGCGUGCAGGUAAUUUUUUGUCCGAGUUACAUUAUUCUGUAUGAAGGACUUAGCUUCAGCAAUAGUUUGGUCAUAACUCCAAAUUUGGAUGCUAUAACCGAACCAACUCCUGUUCCAAAUAACAACACACACACACACACUGCCACUAUCUUCAGAUUACUCGAUUGUAAAUUGUGACACGUUACAUGUUACAGUUGUGUAAUUUUUGGAAGAGUGGUGGGAUUUCGAGUCUAGAUCUGCUAUCUUUUACCUGUUAGGCAUGAUACAAAUGUCUAUCUUAUAUGAAAUCUUUCCAUUAAGAUCUUAUUGCUAUAAAUGUUGACAACCGGCAUUGUUCUAUAUUUCUCAGUCACUCCUAGCCAGGACUUUAGAUGAUUACAGAAGAGUUGGAUAUGAUCCGCAGUCAAGCAGUUUGGAAAUUCGGCUGAUCCAGAGUCAGGAUGACAUUCGCAGCCCAGAAGUUAAAUACAAAGCUGAGAGAUACAGCUGAAAAGUUUUAGCAUAGGCUACAGAACUAUCUUUUGCUGCUGAUCUCACACAGAAAGCAGCUUUUUUAUCUGGGUGGGAUAAUAACCUACUCAAUUUGUAAACUCUUAAAUCCAUUACUCAUCCAUAAUUAUACAGUAGUCUUGUUUGUGAAUUGCAAAGACUUACAAAAUCAAUACAAAUACCAACAUUAUUUGAAGUUCAGAUUUUAUCUGGCAACUUCUGAAUUCUUCUUAGGUAAGUUUCAUAAAUAUCCAAAACUUGCCAUCAAAGAUGGACAAGUAAUCUAAAACCGUGUUAAACCGAAAGAAUAAACAUUGUUUGUUUAAAAUAACAAUUAAAUUUUAUUAAUAUUUUAUUUCUUUGAAUUUUAACUUGUGUUGCAUUGCUGGUGAUGUGCGAGCUGUUCACAUUAAUUAAACAAUUUAAAAGUGAAAAGAAGUAAUGCAUAUUUCUCAGAAUGGACUAUGGAGGGGUCAUUUCAAAUUGUUUAGCUUUACUGGAUAUUUAUCGGAGCGGAUUAGUUGGCUGGGCCAGUUUUCGAGAUUAACAUAAGUUAAACAAAGAAAAAGGUCAUUAGAAAAUCAUUAUCUUCUCAAUUAAACAACUCCUCCGAACAUCGGGAAGACUGCCGAAAGCAGAAAUUGAUGGUCCAAACUCCACAUAUCAUUUUCUAUUCCCUACAUGGAUUAUAUAUUUUCAGUUCUACACACAAGAAAGCACACCAACCCUUACAAAAAAAAUGCAAACUUAUCCAUAUUCAUAUUCCUAUUUUUUAUUAUUUGACGUUUUUAUUUUUGGCACACACUUUUAAAUCCUUGACAGGGUAGUUUAAGAUAUUAUUUUUUAUUUUUUAAAUUUUUUUUUCUGAAUAAAAAUAUAUAAUCAAAAUUUUAACUCAAAAAAAUCAAUCAAAAAUAAUAUUUUUAACUAUCCGGUCAAAGCACUUAAAAGUGUGUGCCAAAAGUCAAAACGUCAAAUAAUAGAAAACAGAGGGAAUAUUUUAUUUUAGAAACGAUCGAAAUGAAAAAUGAGAUCCAACACCGGUCGAAACAAGUUGCCUUUCAGAUUAUGACAGUUAUAACUUAUAAAUGAGACUGUAUAUAUUGGUUCACCGUAUUUUCGAUUUUUUUUAAUAAUUUUGAUAUUUUUGGAAAAAGGUCUAAAUCUUAUUUAUCCAAAGAGAUAAUAAUAUUAAAAAAAAACAGCAAUUAUAUAAUAGCAUAAACUUAUAAUUUUGUUUAUUAAAAUUUAGGUUUCACAGACUAAUAAUUUGAAUUCCUCGUAUCAAUAUUUUAGUCAGAGAUUCGGAAUAUUGUUGUACCGGAAAAUCUAUGACGGUAUUUUGAAUUGAGAUGUUAUUUUAAUGAAACGGUUUUCUUUCGGCUUCAAGUGAUGGAAGUUGGGGCCUAAAGACACCAAAAUCAUGCUUAACUUUGUGAUAAAAAUAUGCCAUGUUGUCAACCAUGCGCGUAUGUUACGAUUAACAUCAACAUCUCAAUUUUUAUAUGAUUUGUAAUUCCAUCAACACCAAUGUCCGAUCGGAGUAUCUUGAAAUUUUUAUCUAAAAAUUUAUAUGAUAUAUUAAAAAUAAAAUUUAUAAAUAUUGUAUAUUAGGUUCACUAUUCUAGUCGUAUAAAGUAUUUAUCUAUAAUUAUAGUCAAUCUCUUCAUAAUUACUCCUUCCAUCUCAUAUUAUGUGUUUUGUUUUGACUAUUGAAGAGUCAAAUUGACUAGAUUUUAACCGCAAAUUAUAUGUGUAGUAAGAUUUCCAAUCAUCUAUUCUAAUAUGAAAAUAAUAUAUUUUAAUUAUAACAAUGUGAAACAAAUAAUAUACCAUAUUUAGAAUAUGAUCAACCAAUAUAGUUUUUCUCAAAAAACAAUAAAUCAAUAUAGCUAAUAAUACUCUCGGAGCAUAAUAUCUUACAAGCUAAUUCAUAACUUAGCCAAUUACUUUUAAUAAGCAUUUUAUAUAAUAAUUAUAUUAUUACACAUAAUUUGUUUAAUCUACUGGCCACUGGGUUAUAAUAUGUUAGUGAUUAAUAAUUAGUCUCUUAGUUAAUUAAUAUAAUAAGCAGCGUUGGUUUAAUUUGUUGAAAUUGUCCCCUUAGCGAGGGAUCGCUUAUAAUAUUAGAAAUCCAAACCGGUUGUCACUAUCUUCUAAAGUGCUCAUUUUUAUUUGCAAAAUUUCUAAAGCUCUUGUUUAAUUAUACGGCCGGAGUAUUUGUGUGAUAAUAUUAUAAAUUUACGGCUACAACGUCACUCCAUUAAACUCGUAAAGCCAGAAUUCACGCCUGAUAUAUGUUCUUAAUUAAUAAAUAUACAAAAUGAAAAAGAGACUCCUUAGGAUAAGCGUCUUUCUAAUAUGUGCCGAUCCAUAACAACAAUAUAUUUUGAUUACGCGAAAAGACUUGGUAAAAAGUUUUAUGCACAUGAAAUGUUAUUAUUAUCAAUAAGAUUAAAAUUGAUAAAAACCCGUCGUCUAGCAAAAAAUAGUUACUUCCUCUAUCCCAAUUUAGAAUGAGCCAUUUCACUACGCCAUAUAUGGCCUACGACAACAUCAAAAAAAUGAUGCCAUAACCCCAAAAUAUGUUGCCAUAGCCCGAAAAAGGGCUAUUGCAACAUAAAAUUUAAGUUGCACUUUUGCAUGCUGCCUUAGGCUUCUAUUGCAACAUUUAGGUAAGCUACUGCAACACGGCUUUUUAUGUUACAAUAAACGUGCUAUUGCAACAUCUGACGACCCUAUAGGAACAAAUAUAUUAUGUUACAUUAGACCUUUUGAUUUUAAAAAAAUAGUGGGACCCACAUGUGGGUCCCUCUUGUAAGUCCCAUUUUUAGGGUCCACGUGGAUCCCACAUGUGAGCCCAAAGUGCCACGUGUCGCCUACUGACUGCCAUGUGUCAGUCCCAUAGCAACAUAUAUGAGUAUGUACUAUUGCAACAUUAAAUAUAACUUUCAAACAUUUUACUACAGCAGCUGCCCCAUUUUAUUAAUCGAAAGCAACAUUAUUUACCGAAAGGAGUUGAAAAUAUACACUUUAAAUGUUAAACAUCUCAAUAAACUAUUCUUUGAUACAAACAAAAGUAACUACCAAAUGGAAUCAAAUCAAAGCAGCUACCAAAUCAGUUUAUCGCCUCACAACUUUAGUCACUCACAACUUUGCACAACACUUCAUUUUUCUUUCAAUAAACAAAAUAUCUUCACUCUUCCACUAACAGCUGAAGAAUAAGUGGCACCUUGAAUGUAACCAUGUCCAAAACUUCUGGAUUUCUGAAGAGAUAUGAAACCUGAAAUGCCAUAUUUAAGUGAUAUGUGUUAUGAACAUAAUCAUACAAAUCUAAUCGUUAAGACAAAGAUAGAAAUAUAAACAAACGCCAGAUGCCUUGUAGAGAUAUAAACAAAUGAAAC
rnacentral:lncRNA from 1 species